GCUUAUGCCGGAUCUUCUAGAUCGAUCAGGUUGUCUCUCUAGGGAAAAAGAUCUGACUGCCUCUUCCUAUAUACGUAUAGUUCAUGCUAUCCCUUUUUGUCGAACAAACAACGCUCCACCCCGCCGUCUCCUUCCGCCGCAAUCCCGUCCCCGGCCACCUCCCCUCUCCUUCACCUGCGCUCGGUCACAUGGGGUGGUGACGCAUGCAGGAGUGCAGAGGAUGUGUCUAUGUGGGAUGUGGAACUCGGGCCGCAGCGGCAUGCCGCCCCGUCCUUGCCUCGAGGUCGCAGCCGCCGCGUCGUCCACGUCCCGUCACCUUGGGUCGAUCAGUGCUGAAGCCCUCGCAAGGAGUCGCUGAAUCUUCCUGUCGAUUUUCGUCGACGUGAACUGCAUGACGGCGAGCGAACACGGCUGUGUCUUCUCCUAUUUUUUUGGCCACGAGUCCUCCUGCCCCUUGCUUCCUGCUUGCUCGGGUUGUUCUUCGUCACGUGCUUGCACGGCUUAUGUGUUGUUGCCUGUGGUGUCUGGGCUAGAUGUGUGUACUAACUAGGUGAUAAUCUUAUACUGGAUGGUGUUAUCCAAUUGAUAAAUCUUCGUGAUUUCCUUUGUGUUCUACGAUGGGCACGGCGGGCAGCGACAACGCGAUACCUGACGAGGAUGCACGCUCGGCCAUGAGGACGAGACCAGGACGGCGCGAUUGGAGGGACGACAACGCCGCAGAGUGCUGCGGCCAGCUGCUACCCUAUAGUCGCCGCCGGCCAUGGGAUCGACACGCCCUGCGCCUCCACUAUGAGGUUGUUUUAACCUGGAGCUGCCGUGCCUGCGCGCACGUCAUGCAGUUUGAGCGGGCAAAGCUCCGGCAGUCCGCCUUCUUCUCGUCAGCCCGUGAGAUGCAAGUCUGCCUCUUCUCUCUGCCUCUUCUCUCCGAUUCCCCUCCUUUUCUGAUGUGCUUCUUUGGUUCGUGUUUGUACUUCCAUCUUUUUUCAUGCACGGUAGUUGUUUGUGUUAAUGCCUAUAAGGGGAAAUCAAGUUCCUGGUCAUUUUCUUAGGUACAGUGAGCUUUCCAAUUUGUCACUCAUGGUUUUAGUUUUCUAGAAACAAAAUUUGGUUCUGCACAACGUAUAUGUAUUCUGUAUUUUAGGAACGGUAUGAAGAAUAUACAGGGCCCAUGAAAGAAAGAUCAAUGACUCAUAUAAAUUACUUAAUGAAAAAUGUCCCGAGGAAGCCCAACGAGAAACUAAGAAUCCUGUUAUAGAGAAAAAAGUAACUAUCAUUCCUUUUUCUGACGAAUCACGUAAUCCUCCAAGUUCACGAACUAAUAAGGUUAUAAAAUGAAUCGUAAUCACAAUUGAAUGCUCUCAAAUCAUUUCUUCUUGGGAGAAGUUUACAUUUAGCAUGGAGAGAUCAAAGGCUUUCUGUGAAGUGUGAACCAAUAAUUCAUGGUUUCUGAAUAUUUUACCAUCAGGUACUUCUCCUGUUUCAACAAUGUAUUCCUGAUUUCUAGACUUAGUUCUCUAGGAAUAUAAGUCAGUACAAUCUAUCCUAACUUUGUAAGGAGUUGCGAAGUAGUUUCACUCCAUAUCCUGUUACUUCAUUGAUGUGUGCAACAUUGCCGAUUAAUCAGGAAUGCUAUUUUGCCUAUCAUGAUUGCAUAUGUAUUAGUUAUUGCCUUUUCGUUGCUUUAAAAAUCUUUUGAUGAGUAGCUCAAGGUAGUUGUGUUGUAUCUAUUUCUUCAUGAAAUACCAAAAUAGUGUCAUCUUAGUUUGUUGCUAAAAGUUGUUUGUUAUCUACAACUCUACCCGCUAAUCCUACAAAUGCCAUCUUAGUAGUAGUUAUCUACUACAACUCUAUCUGUUUCAACUGUUUCCUAGAAAUUUGCAUCUGCAUUAUAGGCUUACCUGUUCUUCUUCUUGUUUCCUUAUCCUUUGUGUCAAAACACAGAACCGACUCAAGUUAGAAGUGAAGAAAAUGGAGGACUUUAUCACCAUGAAUUCUUUGAUAUGGCACAUUGGAGAUUACUGUUGAUUGAUCAGAAAAUACUCUAGAAUCAUAGAGGAGAACUAACAAUGGAAUAACAAACUGAAGAUUAAGUGUGAUGUCCUCUAAAAUCUGAUGAUUGUGGUAGAUUGGACGAAAGAAUAAAUGGUCUUAGUAUGCCUUUUUUAAGUUGAAUUCUGUAUCAUAACAUUUGUCAUCUGCUUCUUCUACUACUGUUGGUGUGCUAAAGAGAGGAUCAGCCCACCGAAAUCAUUGAUUUGGUAUUUUCUUUAUGUGCUCAUGGGAGACUAAUCAACCAAAUUAUUGCGAUGGUAUUGUCUUUUGCCCUAUCCCCACAUUACUGAAUCAUUAUUUGUACUUCUGUACCAAACAAUGUAUUCUUAUUUUGUAUCAACCAAACCCUGACUACAUAAGUAAUGCAUUCAGGUGCACUUGACUCUGGUCUCUUCAUCAGGAAAUUACAUUUCCCAGGUUUGGUUUUCCCAGCAGCUAUGGGCAGUAGUGGAUGUGUGUGACCAUUUGUGGAUUGGUGAGAGAUAAAAAAAUCUGCAGGACAUCAAUACCAUAAGUUGGAAGUGAAAGAGGCUACUUUCUUGCUGUGUACCAGAAGACAAUUGCAAUGGCAGCGAGAAUGUAAAAAAUACCCAGUUUGUUUUCCAGAUUCACAUAGGUCUGCCUUUUCGAAGAUAAAUAAUAAAUGGAGUUGUAAAAUAGUGUUGUUUGUACUUCAGUGCAAAAAUGUUGGAAGUAUACAAAUUAAUGAAACUAUUUAUACCAAGCAACUGGUCAAUGUUUACUAUGCGGCAAACCAACCAUAUAUAGUUUCUUUCGCUACUUUUGGACUGGCUAAUUUACUGUUCAUCUAUGUAGUAUUGCAGAUCAGUGUUAACAUGAAAAGCACCCAAAAAAAUCCACCAAGUAGGCCACGCAGAAUACUUGCCAUUCAACAUGGCCAUUUUUCUUGAGGAUAGGUGAGGCAUGGCAUGCAGACUACUUUGCAACGGAUCAAGUUUUGCGAUGAAUUACCAAAAAUUACAAAAAUAACAAAUAGCUUAUCAAUUCAUGUGGCGCGGCGUGCCGCCGCGCACUACCCGCUAGUUAUAGUAGUAGUACCUUAUUUUGAAGAACCUGCGGCUAUGCCACCUCACCACGGCUACCAGAUCAUCCCAAUUAGUUUUAGCAAUUAAUUGCAUGGAUGCAUGCAAGCGUGGUUCAUAGCAAAUUUUCUUCCCGUGCACUUUUUCCAACUCCUUUUCAACUGGUAACUGAGGCCACAUAUGAUUUGAUUAAAUAUAUGAAAUAAUUCAUGUAUAUACAUUGAAAUCCCACUGAAAUAAUUCACAUGAAUUCGCGCGACAACGCGUAGGGCAUCAUCCGUGAGAAAAGAAAUAUAGAUGAAAACAAAUAGUGAGUCGUUGUGAGCGUUGGUUGGGUGUCUGGUUGACCAAGACUUGUUCCGUGUGGCCAAGGGCACCAGCACGCAUCGCACCGAAGCGCGUUGCAUCGCAUGCAUGUCCAAACCAUGCCGUGUGCCAGGUCGUUGUCAUCAUCGAAAAGAUAAAGGAGAUGGAUGAUAGAUUUCCCAACGACUUGCGAGAGUGAUACGUCCAAUUGGUCGUGCCAAAUGCACAGACACCAACCUUUGUGUGGCUGCAUGCAGCCUGCAAUAGACGGCAACAAAAAGGAAAAAAAAACAUUUCUCUUGGUGAAGGAAAGGUGCUGGUGGGGAUAUUAAAAAUAGCAAAAACUUUGAGUUUAGUGUUCAUUCGAGAGCAUGUGAUCUUGAGCCAAAAUGCUAUAUAUGCGUGCUAGUACAAGCAGUACAACUACUUCACUGGUUGGGUAGAUCUUCUUACGAAGAAAAAUAUAUUCUAGGAAGACAAGUUUACAAAGAAAUAUUUUGUGAAAACCAAGUUUGGAAGCUUUAAAAUUUAUCAAAAAGUUAUUCUGUGUUAGAAAAACAUGUUUUAUAUAAAAAGCCCACGCAUUUGGAGCGGUCCGCACUGUUUCCGCGCCAAAACCCUGCACUUUCUUCACCUUCUCCGCUCCGACCGUCGGCGCUGUCCACCCCAAUAUCCGCCCUUUUCGCAUCCGCCGCUGCAUGGACCCGAUCGACGAUGAGGCGACAUGAGGUCGGAGACACCGGCCACGACCAACAAAGAUACGAGGAGGUAGCACCAAGUGGAGACAAACUUCGAGGUUAGAGUGGGGCUGACAACACUAAGACACAACGCAGACUAGAGUAGAUGACUAGCUAACGUGGUGGUGACGGCAAGGGCAAGAUGAAGGCGACAAGUUAGGGGUUAGUGUUAGACCCUCGGCUUGUCUCUAGAGGAAACAACAUUUCUCAUCAGAUGGCUGCUCGACGGUGGGUGAGACUAUAGACGCUCUAAGAGCAUCUUCAACAGGCGCCCAAAAAGAGCUCCACGCACUAAAAAUUUGUUUUUUUUUGGCGCUGAACAUCUCCAGCAGACGCUGUAGCGCUAAAAGAUAUAGAGCGUGCGUUGAAAAACGCUAUCGCGCGCAGCAUAUUUUAGGCACUGGAUUACGCACGCUUCACAAUUUGCACUGUUUGUUUUUUGGGCGCGCAUUUUUGGGCACCUGCUAAAGCAAAAGUGCUACAAUGGCGCGUUAAAACUUUUAUUGGGCGCGAAAUUUUUGUGCGGCCGUUGAAGAUGCUCUAAGGGGAUGAAAAGAUGAUAGCAGAGGUGACUUUGGCGUGUCGAGUAAGGAUCGGUUCAGGUUGCAAGUCUGAUCCUGGCCAUCCAAUCUCAAUCCAACGGUGUCAAGGAUUAAUUAAUCCGACAUAGGCCAACUGAAAUAAGUCUAACUUGUAAUUAAACAUACUCUCGUGCCAUCAAAUUAGUUUUAUUUUAUCGAUAAAUACAACAACAAAAAAGCUGAUAGCUAGUUGGUACUUCCCUCCGUUUCAUAAUAUAAGAGCGUUUUUGACACUACUCUAGUGUCAAAAACGUUAACUAGGUAGGUGUUAAUCUUUGUCCCCUUCUUGGUGGGAAAAGUAGAUGGUAAUCAUGUCAUGAUCAAAGCUAGAUGGUCCAGCAAGAGAAAAGAAAUGGAAACAGCGUUUCCAUGCGGUGUGUGAUGAGUAUGGUAGUGGAACACAAAAGAAGACGGUGACAAAGGCAACGUCCUGAAUUCCCGAUAUAUUAUUGGCUCCUGAGCUGCAAAGACGCUAAUAAACUAGUGGCGUGCAUCUAUGAUUGGCCCUUUUAGCCGGUUAUUAUCAAUAUCUGAACCACAUAUAUACGUACGUACGUGUAGGUAGGAGCAGCACCAGGUCGAUCCUAGGUGUCGAGAGCCGAGAAGAGAUCUUUCCAGAAGAGCUAGCUAGCUAAGCCUUUGCAUGCAUGUGUUAUGGCCCCGCUAUCUCUUCACUCGAUUACACCAAAGAACUUCUAGAGGAAGGAAUGGGUAUAAGGGAAGAAGCCGCGGCCGUCCAGUGUCUAGUUUCUCCACACCCCGCACCCAGCGAGAGGGCGCAGUACUUAACCCUAUUUGCCGGUGUUCCAUUUGGGGCCUGUGUAGCGCUUGUUGGGCUGGGCCUGGCGACGUGGUCGUUCCAGCCCAGUCACCGGGGUCGUGGCAGUGUCGCCCUGGUCUUCUGCUGAUGGGGCCUGAGGGCCAGGGACCGUAACAUCCCUCCCUCCUUCAGACACAGCUUGUUCCCAAGCUGGAGCAUUGGAGAAAUGUUGUUGUAGCUCGAUGCGGUCCUCCCAGGUUGCAAACUCCACGGGCUGGUCCGUCCAGCGAACCAGGACCCGCGGGACUCCUGAGUUGCCGCGCUGCACCAUUCGCCUGUCCAGAACCUCUUCGGGGACGGGGCUUGUCGCAGCUGCUGCUGGAAGUUGCUGGUGGACUUGCUCCGUUGGUGGAAGGGCUUGACGCAGCUGCGAGACGUGGAAGACCGGAUGCACGGUGCUGGUAGGCGGAAGCUGGAGCUUGUAUGCCACCGCACCAAUGCGCUGCAACACCUUGUACGGCCCGAAGUACCGGAAGGAUAGCUUAUGGUUGCUCCGUGUCGCCACCGAACGCUGGACAUAUGGUUGGAGCUUGAGGAAAACCCAAUCGUCCACCGCGAACGUGCGGUCUGAGCGACGUUUGUCCGCCGAAUCCUUCAUUUGCUGGCGCGCGCAGCAGGUGCUGCCGAAUGAGCGCCACCAUUUGCGCCCUGUCUUGUAGCCAGUCCGCCAGAUCCGGUGACGCGCACGCCACAGGGUCAAUGAUGCCGAAGUGUCUUGGCGCAUGUCCGUAGAGGACCUCGAAGGGAGUGGUGCCCAACGCGGAGUGCGGCGAGGUGUUGUACCAUAAUUCCGCGAGAGGCAGCCAGGCGUACCACUUGGUUGGUGUAGCAUUGACGAAGCAGCGUAGGAAGGUCUCCAUGCAUUGGUUCACGCGCUCCGUCUGCCCGUCCAUCUGCGGGUGUCGUGCGGUACUCAUGCGCAGCUUGGUGUGAGUCAGCCUGAACAACUCUUUCCAUAAGACACUAGUGAAGAUCGGGUUGCGAUCCGAUACGAUCGACUCCGGCAGCCCAUGCAAUUUGUAGAUGUUAGCCACGAACGCUUGAGCAACUUGGAAGGCUGUGAAUGGAUGUGACAUGGCUACAAAAUGAGCGUACCGUGAAAACUUAUCGACGACCACCAGAAUGGAGUUGUAUCCUGACGAGCGAGGUAAUCCAUCGACGAAGUCCAAUGACACCAUCUGCCAAGCUUGAGUGGGCACCGGCAGUGGCUCGAGGAGACCUGGGUAUCAAACCCGCUCUGGCUUCGCUUGUUUGCAGGUCUGGCAUGCGUCCACAAAGAGCUUGACGUGGUGCUUGAGUCCCGGCCAUGUAAACAGUCGCCGCACUCUGUGGUAUGUGGCGUUGAACCCCGAGUGACCACCGAUCGCUCCGGUGUGGAGAGCCUCCAGAAUCUGCUUUUGUAAUGCCACAUUGUCGCCCAACCAAACCCGGCCGUGCUGCUUGAUAACACCCUGGCUGAGUUGAAAGCCAUCUUGCGCUCCUGAAGCUGUGGCCAACCGCGCGAGUAAUUGUUGCGCUACCGGGUCGUCAGCAUAGCCUUUUUCCACUUCCUCCAGCCAGGCCGGUACUGCCGAUGUAAUGGUGGCGAGGUCCCCUUGAGGGAUCUGAGGCCGGCGCGAUAAGGCAUCAGCGGCACGGUUAUCCACUCCUUUUUGUAAACGAUGCGGUAGCCGAGCCCGAGCAUCUUGCAAAUGAUCUUCUGCUGCCACGGUGUCGCUAGUCGCUGGUCCUCCAAGUCAAUGAGACUGCGCUGAUCUGUGUGUACUAUGAACUCGUCAUUUUGGAGAUAUGCACGCCAGUGGUCGACCGCUAAGAGAAUGGCCAUGCCUUCCUUCUCAUAGGUGGAGAGCAUGCGAUUGCGCGGUCCCAACGCGGGACUGAGGAAGCCAAUUGGGUGCUUCUCCUGUGAGAGUACUGCGCCAAUCCCUUGAUCGCGAGCAUCAAUUUCUAGCUCGAAUGUUUUAGUGAAAUCCGGCAGAGCGAGCACCGGGGCUGUGACCAAUGCCUGUUGGAGUUCUCUGAACGAGGCCUCUUCGAGUUGAGUCUAUCUGAACACCACAUUCUUCUUCAAGAGAUCUGUGAGCGGGCGACUGAUGACUGCAAAUCCUCGGACGAACCUCCGAUAGUAGCCUGCAAGGCCCAAGAAGCCGCGUACUUCUUUCACACAGGUGGGUACUGGCCAAGUCUGAACCGCGCUGAUAUUCCUGUUAUCCGUCCGCACACCUUCACCGCUGAUUUCAUGUCCAAGGUAUAAGAGCCUGGGUCGAGCAAAGAAGCAUUUGCUUCGCUUGAGCUUGAACUCAUGCUCUUGAAGACGCUGGGCACUACAAAAAAAAUACACUUCCGUGAUGAUACGUAUUUGUCAGAGUAGGUCGCGUUUUCUGUCAUGUAUGUACAUCCAUGACGAUUUUAUGACAGAAUCAAGAUAGUCAUAUCUGUGCUGUCGUAGAAGUGUUCCAUGACAUUACCAAAAUUAUCAUCACGGAAGUGUCCACUUCCAUGACGAUAAAUCGCGCGUCACAGAAGUGCUUUCGUCAAGGGUGACCGACACAUGACAUCCACCGUAACGGAACGCCGUUAAGCUAUCGGGUCGGGUUUUGGAUCCGAUAACCCGUUAACAGCCCCGACCAAUGGGGAUUUUCCACGUGUAAAAUCAUCAUUGGCUGGAGGAAACACGUGUCGGCUCAUCGCUGGGACAGAUGUCAUCCACUCAUUGGACAGAAGGCGCCUAUGAUACGUCGACACGUGGCACGGCCCAACAGAGGCCCAUUCCUGUGAAAAGGCCGGCCCGUUUGACUUGGUUAAAAGGUGGCGGGCCGGCCCAUGGAAAGCCUGUUAACGGCCUGUUCGCAUAUAGCCCAUUUACAGCAAGCUAACCCAAGACCCGUUACGCCCUAUUCGAAUUAGGCCCAGUAGCGUCAUCUGGGCCAUCCAAUAUGAUACCCGUUUUCACUUCUGGCCCAUGUAUGGCCCAUGACGUCUUUCGGCCCAUAUGAGGCCCUAUGUAACUCUUGGCUUAUUAACGACCCGUGGUGAAACUGGCCUGUAAUGAACAGUGUAUCACUUUACACCCAUUAACGGCCCGUGGUGAAACUGGCCCGUAAAGAACAGUGUAUCACUUUAUACCCAUUAACGGCCCGUUAUUCCGUUGGGCCGUUUCCAGCCCAUGUUAUCUUUCGGCCUUCUCAGAGCCCAUUUAUUCUUGGGCUAUUUUCUAGCAUUCGUUUACUUACGGCCCGUUACUGUCAUUUUCUGCUUGUGGGCCAAAUUCAGCCCGUGGUUACAGUCGGCCCGUUUGUGGUCCGUUAAUACGUUGGGCCGUUUUCAUAGCGUCAUCAAAUACGGCCUAUUAACGAUGGCCCGUUAUGGUCGGCCCAUGAACGGACGAUUCCAACUCUAGCCCGUUUACGGCCAGAAUGCGGUCUGUUUGGCCCAUGUUUGGCCAAUCGAUCAUACGGCCCGUAUAAGGCCCAUUGAUGAUAUGGCCCAUAGAAGGCCCAUUGUUUCUACGGCCCAUAGAAGGCCCACUGUUUCUACGGCCCGUAGAAGCCCACUGUUUAUAAGGCCCGUAGAAGGCCCACUGUUUCUAUGGCCCGUAGGAGGCCCAUUGUCACUAUAGUAAAUAUUAGCCCAUGGUUAUUGUGGCCUAGUUUUAAAAAAUAGGUUAUUGCAGCCACUAGCAAACCGCAGAAAAAGAACUGCACUGACUACAAGCAAACAAAUAAACAAGACAACAAGGAAAUAAAUAAGCAAGGAACUUACACUAGGCUAUCACAGCUAUUACACAUAUUACAUCCACUGGGCAUCAAAGUUCGCCACCAGUGCAAAUAUAGGGAACACAGCAGCAUAUAAACGCCGCAGCAAAACAAGUCCAGAACUGAAACCACUUCAGAAGAGCUCAAGAAACAAUAUCCUAGGUACCCAUAAUGCUGGCAAGAUGCUUAGCAAGGUUAUUAACUUUCUCUUGUUUGGCGCUUAAGUCCUCCAGCGCUUGCUGUUGCACCAGAAAGUAUGCAUCUGAAUUCUGCAGGGACUUUCUCAGUCCUUCGGCUUCCUGUCGCAUAACAUCCGAUCGAUGUCUUUCAACUUGAAGUUGAGACUCAAGAAGCCGAGCUGAUUCAGGCAACGAGUUCGAAGAGCUGGUGCCAGCAGUGGUAGCCAGUAACUUGAACACUACAUCAAGACAUGACUUUGGGGUUGUCUCAGUGUCUUCAAUAAAGUUUUUAUCAGCUUUCUUGGAGACCAACAGGGAUGUCUCACUAUCUUGAACCUUAUCUGCAUUACUUCCUUUACCAUUGCAUAACAGGGUACUCUUCUCCAAUAUUUUAUCCGCGUUCUAAAAGAGAAACAAACAAACACAUCUGAGGUUUACAAUGUAGUAUAUGGAACUCAUUUUGGUAAACCAGUUCAGUAGUAAGGUGGACAGGAUAACAGCAUGAAACAAACAUAUAUCUAUGUAGUAUGGUCACUGUAUGGUCUAUAUCAUUCUAGUUUAUGUUGCCAAAUCAAGAUAGAUAUAGUUCGAAUCAUAUCUAUUUAAGACAAAGCAGCAUAGACAGAAUAUAAGUGUGGGAAACUACACAACAAUAACAACACUUGUAAUGUGCAUGGCAUGAGAACAUAACUGUUUAUUCAAUUCAAACUGAAAUCAACAUAGAGCAAGUUACAAUAGCAAACAGCCAAACACGUUGAAGAAACAGGUUUAAAACAUACCUGUUGCGCCAUUGGAGUUUCAAUUGCAUCCUUCAAAUUUGAAAUUAGUUCGUAUCAGUAAAUACAGUGAUGCAAGAGCAAAGUAGUAUGAACCAUAGCUACGGAACCUGACCUGAGAACAAUUCUUCUUCUGCUUUAAGCGUUGACUUCGGGUUCGGAGUGGUGGUCCUCGUGAUUUGGGCACUGCAGUUGCCUUACUAACUGCUCGUGUUAGGGUGCUCUGUGGUGGAGACGGUGCUGUGUCAAUGGGAACUGGGUGUCUAUCUGCUGGGGUUGGGGUUAGAAGGGGUGUAGCUGGUUCUCUGUCCAACUGGGUAGGGGUACAAUCUACAUGAGUGUGGGUUAUGUGUGGUGGGGCUGGUUCUUGGGCAAGUACAACUGUGGUUCUAUCUGCAUCGAUAGGUAGCACGAUCUUUUCUGAAGAUUGUGUUUUUACUCGCACAGAUACUGCCAUCACUCCCUCCAAUUGAAAUGGCUGAUAAACAAGAAAAGUAAUUGAAUGUACAGACAUUGUAAGAUAGACAGGUGCAAUGGAUAGUAGGGAAGAAAACAGGGCAUGAAAUAAUUCACAUUUAUGUUGUCUAAGCAAACAAAAUAGCAGGACAUAAUUUCACAUAUAUGAUGGCUAAUUAAACAGGAUAGCAUGACACAAUUUCACAUGUAUGAUGGCUAACUAAACAGGAUAGAAUGACAUACUUCAAAAUAUGAUGACUAUGUAAACAGGAUGACAUGAUAUAACUAUACAAUGUGUCUAUUAAAGUGGUUGGCAUGCCAUAAAUCACAAACAUGCCGUCGACGGAAACAUGAUGGCAUGAUAUAAUUCACGGAUAGAAUGACAUAAUUUAAAAUAUGAUGACUAUGUAAACAGGAUGAGAUGAUAUAACUAUAUUAUGUCUUUAGAAAAUGUGUUGGCAUGCCAUAAUUCAGAUACAUGCUGUCUAUGUAAACAUCAUGGCAUGACAUAAUUCAAAUAUAUGAUUUAUAUACUAAGGAAGUGAGCAGAGGGCAAUCGCAUAUAUGAUGUGUCAACUAAGGAGAUGACAUUCAAUAUCGUAGUACAUGUGUGAAUACAUAGACCACAACGUGUCCCUAGUAAGCCUCUAGUUGACUAGCUCGUUGAUCAACAGAUAGUCAUGCUUUCCUGACUAUGGACAUUGGAUGUCAAUGAUAACGGGAUCACAUCAUUAGGAGAAUGAUGUGAUGGACAAGACCCAAUCCUAAGCAUAGCUCAAAGAUCGUGUAGUUCGUUUGCUAGAGCUUUUCCAAUGUCAAGUAUCUUCUCCUUAGACCAUGAGAUCGUGCAACUCCCGGAUACCGUAGGAGUACUUUGGGUGUGCCAAACGUCACAACGUAACUGGGUGACUAUAAAGGUACACUACGGGUAUCUCCGAAAGUGUCUGUUGGGUUGGCACGGAUCGAGACUGGGAUUUGUCACUCCGUAUGACGGAGAGGUAUCUCUGGGCCCACUCGGUAAUGCAUCAUCAUAAUGAGCUCAAUGUGAGUAAGGCGUUAGUCACGGGAUCAUGCAUUGCGGUACGAGUAAAGAGACUUGCCGGUAACGAGAUUGAAUAAGGUAUUGGGAUACCGACGAUCGAAUCUCGGGCAAGUAACAUACCGAUUGACAAAGGGAAUUGUAUACGGGAUUGAUUGAAUCCUCGACAUCGUGGUUCAUCCGAUGAGAUCAUCGUGGAACAUGUGGGAGCCAACAUGGGUAUCCAGAUCCCGCUGUUGGUUAUUGACCGGAGAGGCGUCUCGGUCAUGUCUGCAUGUCUCCCGAACCCGUAGGGUCUACACACUUAAGGUUCGGUGACGCUAGGGUUGUAGAGAUAUGAGUAUGCGAAACCUGAAAGUUGUUUGGAGUCCCGGAUGAGAUCCCGGACGUCACGAGGAGUUCCGGAAUGGUCAGGAGGUGAAGAAUUAUAUAUAGGAAGUCAAGUUUCGGCCACCGGAAAGUUUCGGGGGUCACCGGUAUUGUACCGGGACCACCGGAAGGGUCCCGGGGGUCCAUCGGGUGGGGCCACCUAUCCCGGAGGGCCCCAUGGGCUGAAGUGGGACGGUAACCAGCCGUUAGUGGGCUGGGGCGCCCCCCAUGGGCCUUCCCCCUGCGCCUAGGGUUGGAAACCCUAGGGUGGGGGGGCGCCCCACUUGCCUUGGGGGGCAAGUCCCCCCUGGCCGCCGCCCCCCCAUGUAGAUGGGGCUUGGCCGGCGCCCCCCUCCAAGGGGGCCUAUAUAAAGGGGGGGGGAGGGAGGGCAGCAACACAACAGCCUUGGGCGCCUCCCUCCUCCCCUGCAACACCUCUCCCUCUCGCAGAAGCUCGGCGAAGCCCUGCCGAGAUCCCGCUACAUCCACCACCACGCCAUCGUGCUGCUGAAUCUCCAUCAACCUCUCCUUCCCCCUUGCUGGAUCAAGAAGGAGGAGACAUCGCUGCUCCGUACGUGUGUUGAACGCGGAGGUGCCGUCCGUUCGGCACUCGGUCAUCGGUGAUUUGGAUCACGGCGAGUACGACUCCAUCAACCUCGUUCAUUGGAACGCUUCCGCUCGCGAUCUACAAGGGUAUGUAGAUGCACUGCUUUCCCCUUGUUGCUAGUAUACUCCAUAGAUGGAUCUUGGUGAGCGUAGGAAAAUUUUAAAAUUCUGCUACGAUCCCCAACAGUGGCAUCAUGAGCCAGGCCUAUGCGUAGUUACUAUGCACGAGUAGAACACAAAGCAGUUGUGGGCGUAGAUGUUGCCAAUUCUUCUUGCCGCUACUAGUCUUAUCUUGUUUCGGCGGCAUUGUGGGAUGAAGCGGCCCGGACCGACCUUACACGUACGCUUACGUGAGACAGGUUCCACCGACUGACGUGCACUAGUUGCAUAAGGUGGCUAGCGGGUGUCUGUCUCUCCCACUUUAGUCGGAACGGAUUCGAUGAAAAGGGUCCUUAUGAAGGGUAAAUAGAAAUUGGCAUAUCACGUUGUGGUCAUACGUAGGUAAGAAACGUUCUUAAUAGAAACCUACAAGCCACGUAAAAACUUGCAACAACAAUUAGAGGACGUCUAACUUGUUUUUGCAGCAUGUGCUAUUUGAUAUGAUAUGGCCAGAAGAUGUGAUGAAUGAUAUAUGAGAUGUAUGAGAUUGAUCAUAUUCUUGUAAUAGGAAUCACGACUUGCAUGUCGAUGAGUAUGACAACCGGCAGGAGCCAUAGGAGUUGUCUUUAUUAUUUUGUAUGACCUGCGUGUCAUUGAAUAACGCCAUGUAAAUUACUUUACUUUAUUGCUAAACGCGUUAGCCAUAGAAGUAGAAGUAAUCGUUGGCGUGACAACUUCAUGAAGACACAAUGAUGGAGAUCAUGAUGAUGGAGAUCAUGGUGUCAUGCCGGUGACGAAGAUGAUCAUGGUGCCCCGAAGAUGGAGAUCAAAGGAGCAAAAUGAUAUUGGCCAUAUCAUGUCACUAUUUGAUUGCAUGUGAUGUUUAUCAUGUUUUGCAUCUUAUUUGCUUAGAACGACGGUAGUAACUAAGAUGAUCGCUUAUAAUAAUUUCAAGAAAGUGUUCACCCUAACUGUGCACCGUUGCGAAGGUUCGUUGUUUCGAAGCACCACGUGAUGAUCGGGUGUGAUAGAUUCUAACGUUCGCAUACAACGGGUGUUGACGAGCCUAGCAUGUACAGACAUGGCCUCGGAACACACGCAAUACACUUAGGUUGACUUGACGAGCCUAGCAUGUACAGACAUGGCCUCAGAACACGGAGGACCGAAAGGUCGAGCAUGAGUCGUAUAGAAGAUACGAUCAACAUGGAGAUGUUCACCGAUCUUGACUAGUCCGUCUCACGUGAUGAUCGGACACGGCCUAGUUAACUCGGAUCAUGUUUCACUUAGAUGACUAGAGGGAUGUCUAUCUGAGUGGGAGUUCAUUGAAUAAUUUGAUUAUAUGAACUUAAUUAUCAUGAACUUAGUCUAAAAUCUUUACAAUAUGUCUUGUAGAUCAAAUGGCCCACGUUGUCCUCAACUUCAACGCGUUCCUAUAGAAAACCAAGCUGAAAGAUGAUGGCAGCAACUAUACGGACUGGGUCCGGAACCUGAGGAUCAUCCUCAUAGCAGCCAAGAAAGAUUAUGUCCUAGAAGCACCGCUAGGUGAAGCACCAUUCCCAGAGAACCAAGACGUUAUGAACGCUUGGCAAUCACGUGCUGAUGAUUACUCCCUCGUUCAGUGCGGCAUGCUUUACAGCUUAGAACCGGGGCUCUGAAAGCGUUUUGAGAAGCAUGGAGCAUAUGAGAUGUUCGAAGAGCUGAAAAUGGUUUUCCAAGCUCAUGCCCGGGUCGAGAGAUAUGAAGUCUCCGACAAGUUCUUCAGCUGUAAAAUGGAGGAGAAUAGUUCUGUUAGUGAGCACAUACUCAGAAUGUCUGGGUUACACAACCGCUUGUCUCAGCUGGGAGUUAAUCUCCCGGAUGACGCGGUCAUUGACAGAAUCCUUCAGUCGCUUCCACCAAGCUACAAGAGCUUUGUGAUGAACUUCAAUAUGCAGGGGAUGGAAAAGACCAUUCCCGAGGUAUAUUCAAUGCUGAAAUCAGCGGAGGUGGAGAUCAGAAAAGAACAUCAAGUGUUGAUGGUGAAUAAAACCACUAAGUUCAAGAAGGGCAAGGGUAAGAAGAACUUCAAGAAGGACGGCAAGGGAGUUGCCGAGCCCGGUAAGCCAGUUGCCGGGAAGAAGCCAAGGAAUGGACCCAAGCCUGAGAGUGAGUGCUUUUAUUGCAAGGGAAGUGGUCACUGGAAGCGGAACUGCCCCAAAUACUUAGCGGACAAGAAGGACGGCAACACCAAAGGUAUAUGUGAUAUACAUGUAAUUGAUGUGUACCUUACCAGUACUCGUAGUAGCUCUUGGGUAUUUGAUACCGGUGCGGUUGCUCAUAUUUGUAACUCAAAACAGGAACUACGGAAUAAACGGAGACUGGCGAAGGACGAGGUGACGAUGCGCGUCGGGAAUGGUUCCAAGGUUGAUGUGAUCGCCGUCGGCAUGCUACCUCUGCAUCUACCUACGGGAUUAGUUUUAAACCUCAAUAAUUGUUAUUUAGUGCCAGCUUUGAGCAUGAACAUUGUAUCUGGAUCUCGUUUAAUUCGAGAUGGCUACUCAUUUAAAUCCGAGAAUAAUGGUUGUUCUAUUUAUUUGAGAGAUAUGUUUUAUGGUAAUGGCCCGCUGGUCAAUGGUUUAUUCUUGAUGAAUCUCGAAUGUUAUGUUACACAUAUUCAUAGUGUGAAUACCAAAAGAUGUAAAGUUGAUAACGAUAGUCCCACAUACUUGUGGCACUGCCGCCUUGGUCACAUUGGUGUCAAGCGCAUGAAGAAGCUCCAUGCAGAUGGACUUUUGGAGUCUCUUGAUUACGAAUCAUUUGACACGUGCGAACCAUGCCUCAUGGGUAAGAUGACCAAGACUCCGUUCUCUGGAACAAUGGAGCGAGCAACCAACUUAUUGGAAAUCAUACAUACCGAUGUGUGCGGUCCAAUGAGUGUUGAGGCUCGCGGAGGAUAUCGUUAUGUUCUCACUCUCACUAAUUAUUUAAGUAGAUAUGGGUAUGUCUACCUAAUGAAACACAAGUCUGAAACCUUUGAAAAGUUCAAGGAAUUUCAGAGUGAGGUUGAGAAUCAACGUGACAGAAAAAUAAAAGUCUUACGAUCAGAUCGUGGUGGAGAAUAUUUAAGUCAUGAAUUUGGUGCGCACUUAAGGAAAUGUGGAAUCGUUUCACAACUCACGCCGCCUGGAACACCUGAGCGAAACGGUGUGUCCGAACGUCGUAAUCGCACUCUAUUGGAUAUGGUGCGAUCUAUGAUGUCUCUUACCGAUUUACCGCUCGCAUUCUGGGGCUAUGCUUUAGAGACUGCCGCAUUCACUUUAAAUAGGGUUCCGUCGAAAUCCGUUGAGACGACACCGCAUGAAUUAUGGUUUGGGAAGAAACCUAAGCUGUCGUUUCUAAAAGUUUGGGGGUGCGAUGCUUAUGUCAAGAAACUUCAACCUGAAAAGCUCGAACGCAAGUCGGAAAAAUGCGUCUUCAUAGGAUACCCUAAGGAAACUAUUGGGUAUACCUUCUACCUCAGAUCCGAAGGCAAGAUCUUCGUUGCCAAGAACGGGUCCUUUCUGGAGAAAGAGUUUCUCUUGAAAGAAUUGAGUGGGAGGAAAGUGGAACUUGAUGAGGUGAUAGUCACCCCUUUCAAACCGGAAAGUAGCGCAGCGCGGGAAGAUGUUCCUGUGGUGCCUACACCGACUGGGGAGGAAGUUAAUGAUGAUGAUCAUGAAGCUUCGGAUCAAGUUACUGCUGAACUUCGUAGGUCCACAAGGACAUGUUCCGCACCAGAGUGGUACGGCAACCCUGUCCUGGAAAUCAUGUUGUUAGACAACGGUGAACCUUCGAACUAUGAAGAAGCGAUGGCGGGCCCGGAUUCUGACAAAUGGCUAGAAGCCAUGAAAUCCGAGAUAGGAUCCAUGUAUGAAAACGAAGUAUGGACUUUGACUGACUUGUCCGAUGAUCGGCGAGCCAUAGAAAAUAAAUGGAUCUUUAAGAAGAAGACAGACGCGGAUGGUAAUGUGACCAUCUAUAAGGCUCGACUUGUCGCUAAGGGUUAUUGACAAGUUCAAGGGGUUGACUACGAUGAGACUUUCGCACCCGUAGCGAAGCUGAAGUCCGUCCGAAUCAUGUUAGCAAUUGCCGCAUACUAUGAUUAUGAGAUAUGGCAGAUGGACGUCAAAAAGGCAUUCCUUAACGGCUCCCUUAAGGAAGAAUUGUAUAUGAUGCAGCCGGAAGGUUUUUGUCGAUCCUAAGAAUGCUAACAAAGUAUGCAAGCUCCAGCGCUCAAUCUAUGGGCUGGUGCAAGCAUCUCGGAGUUGGAACAUUCGCUUUGAUGAGAUGAUCAAAGCGUUUGGGUUUACACAGACUUAUGGAGAAGCCUGUGUUUAAAAGAAAGUGAGUGGGAGCUCUGUAGAAUUUCUCUUAUUAUAUGUGGAUGACAUACUAUUGAUGGGAAAUGAUAUAGAAUUCUUGGAAAGUAUAAAGGCCUAUUUGAAUAAGUGUUUUUCAAUGAAGGACCUUGGAGAAGCUGCUUAUAUAUUAGGCAUCAAGAUCUCUAGAGAUAGAUCAACACGCCUCAUUGGUCUUUCACAGAGUACGUACCUUGACAAGAUAUUGAAGAAGUUCAAUAUGGAUCAGUCCAAGAAAGGGUUCUUGCCUGUAUUGCAAGGUGUGCAAUUGAGCACGGCUCAAUGCCCGACCACGGCAGAAGAUAGAGAAAAGAUGAGUGUCAUCCCCUAUGCCUCGGCCAUAGGGUCAAUUAUGUAUGCCAUGCUGUGUACCAGACCUGAUGUAAACCUUGCCGUAAGUUUGGUAGGAAGGUACCAAAGUAAUCCCGGCAUGGAACACUGGACAACGGUCAAGAAUAUCCUAAAGUACCUGAAGAGGACUAAGGAUAUGUUUCUCGUUUAUGGAGGUGACGAAGAGCUCGUCGUAAAGGGUUACGUCGACGCUAGCUUCGACACAGAUCUGGAUGACUCGAAGUCACAAACCGGAUACUUGUAUAUUUUGAAUGGAGGAGCAGUAAGCUGGUGCAGUUGCAAGCAAAGCGUCGUGGCGGGAUCUACAUGUGAAGCGGAGUACAUGGCAGCCUCGGAGGCAGCACAGGAAGUAGUCUGGAUGAAGGAGUUCAUUACUGAUCUAGGGGUGAUUCCCAAUGCGUCGGGCCCGAUGACUCUCUUCUGUGACAACACUGGAGCUAUUGCCCUUGCGAAGGAGCCCAGGUUUCACAGGAAGACCAGGCAUAUCAAGCGUCGCUUCAACUCCAUUCGUGAAAAUGUUCAAAAUGGAGACAUAGAUAUUUGUAAAGUACAUACAGACCUGAAUGUAGUAGAUCCGUUGACUAAACCUCUCCCUAGAGCAAAACAUGAUCAACACGAGGACGCAAUGGGUGUUCGAUUCAUCACAAUGUAACUAGAUUAUUGACUCUAGUGCAAGUGGGAGACUGUUGGAAAUAUGCCCUAGAGGCAAUAAUAAAUGGUUAUUAUUAUAUUUCUUUGUUCAUGAUAAUUAUCUAUUGUUCAUGCUAUAAUUGUGUUAUCCGGAAAUCGUAAUACAUGUGUGAAUACAUAGACCACAACGUGUCCCUAGUAAGCCUCUAGUUGACUAGCUCGUUGAUCAACAGAUAGUCAUGGUUUCCUGACUAUGGACAUUGGAUGUCAAUGAUAACGGGAUCACAUCAUUAGGAGAAUGAUGUGAUGGACAAGACCCAAUCCUAAGCAUAGCUCAAAGAUCGUGUAGUUCGUUUGCUAGAGCUUUUCCAAUGUCAAGUAUCUUCUCCUUAGACCAUGAGAUCGUGCAACUCCCGGAUACCGUAGGAGUACUUUGGGUGUGCCAAACGUCACAACGUUACUGGGUGACUAUAAAGCUACACUACGGGUAUCUCCGAAAGUGUCUGUUGGGUUGGCACGGAUCGAGACUGGGAUUUGUCACUCCGUAUGACGGAGAGGUAUCUCUGGGCCCACUCGGUAAUGCAUCAUCAUAAUGAGCUCAAUGUGACUAAGGCGUUAGUCACGGGAUCAUGCAUUCCGGUACGAGUAAAGAGACUUGCCGGUAACGAGAUUGAACAAGGUAUUGGGAUACCAACGAUCGAAUCUCGGGCAAGUAACAUACCGAUUGACAAAGGGAAUUGUAUACGGGAUUGAUUGAAUCCUCGACAUCGUGGUUCAUCCGAUGAGAUCAUCGUGGAACAUGUGGGAGCCAACAUGGGUAUCCAGAUCCCGCUGUUGGUUAUUGACCGGAGAGGCGUCUCGGUCAUGUCUGCAUGUCUCCCGAACCCGUAGGGUCUACACACUUAAGGUUAGGUGACGCUAGGGUUGUAGAGAUAUGAGUAUGCGGAAACCCGAAAGUUGUUCGGAGUGCCGGAUGAGAUCCCGGACAUCACGAGGAGUUCCGGAAUGGUCCGGAGGUGAAGAAUUAUAUAUAGGAAGUCAAGUUUCGGCCACCGGGAAAGUUUCGGGGGUCACCGAUAUUGUACCGGGACCACCGGAAGGGUCUCGGGGUUCCACCGGGUGGGGCCACCUAUCCCGGAGGGCCCCAUGGGCUGAAGUGGGAAGGGAACCAGCCCUUAGUGGGCUGGGGCGCCCCCCAUGGGCCUUCCCCCUGCGCCUAGGGUUGGAAACCCUUGGGUGGGGGGGGGGCGUCCCACUUGCCUUGGGGGGCAAGUCCCCCCUGGCCGCCGCCCCCCCAUGUAGAUGGGGCUUGGCUGGCGCCCCCCCUCCAAGGGGGCCUAUAUAAAGGGGGGGAGGGAGGGCAGCAACACAACAGCCUUGGGCGCCUCCCUCCUCCCCUACAACACCUCUCCCUCUCGCAGAAGCUCGGCGAAGCCCUGCCGAGAUCCCGCUACAUCCACCACCACGCCGUCGUGCUGCUGGAUCUCCAUCAACCUCUCCUUCCCCCUUGCUGGAUCAAGAAGGAGGAGACGUCGGUGCUCCGUACGUGUGUUGAACGCGGAGGUGCCGUCCGUUAGGCACUCGGUCAUCGGUGAUUUGGAUCACGGCGAGUACGACUCCAUCAACCUCGUUCAUUGGAACGCUUCCGCUCGCGAUCUACAAGGGUAUGUAGAUGCACUCCUUUCCCCUCGUUGCUAGUAUACUCCAUAGAUGGAUCUUGGUGAGCGUAGGAAAAUUUUAAAAUUCCGCUACGAUCCCCAACAUACAACAUAUGCAUUAUAUGAGUAAUAUAACCCCGCCAAGUUUGAGCAUACACCUUAGGGGGAUAAUAGGACUGGUCAUCUGCCUUUGAAUCCUCCUCUGAAGAGCUAUCUGCAACCAACAAGAUAUCUGCUUCAGCAGGUAGCAUUGUCUGCUCUGAAGACCUUGUUUUCACUCCAGAUUUCUCCAUCACCAAUUCAAAUGGCUGAUGCACAGGAAGAGCAGUUGAAUAUACAAACAUUGUCGACAAAAGCAAUGAGAAAUACAAAAAAAGGACGGCAUGAUAUAAUUCACAUAUAUGACGCUUGCCUAAAUAGCAUGGCAUUGCAUAAUUCACAUACAUAAUGCCUUGCAACAAGAUAACAUUGCAUAAUUCACAUAUAUAAUGUCUUGCAACAAGAUGGCAUUGCAUAAUUCACAUAUAUGGUAAUUAGACACUANNNNNNNNNNNNNNNNNNNNNNNNNNNNNNNNNNNNNNNNNNNNNNNNNNNNNNNNNNNNNNNNNNACAUUGCAUAAUUCACAUAUAUAAUGUCUUGCAACAAGAUGGCAUUGCAUAAUUCACAUAUAUGGUAAUUAGACACCGAAUAGGUGGCAUUCACACAAAGCAUGUCUAAACUAAGCAAAUGACAUAGCAAUGCAAGAUACCAUACGCACGAUAUGAGCAACAUAACCUUGCCAUGUUAGGGCAUGCACCUCGGGGGGGGGGGGGAAUAUGACUGGUCAUCUGUCUCUGAAUCCUCCUCUGAGGAGCUAUCGGUAACCAGCAAGACAUGCGCUUCGUCAGAUAGCAUUGUCUGCUCUGAAGACCUUGUUUCCACUCCAGAUUUUUCAAUGACCGUGCCGAAUGGCUGAUGCACAGGAAGAGUUAUUGAAUGUACUAAAAUUGUUGACUAAUUUAACACGUAAUAAAAAAAUGACGGCAUGAUAUAAUUCACAUAUAAGAUGACUGGCUAACCAGGGUGGCAUUGCAAUAUUCACAUAUAUGAUGCCUGGCUAGACAAGAUGGCAUUGCAUGAUUCACAUAUACGAUAAAGAAAAUAAACAGAUGGCAUUGACACAAAGCAUGUCUAAACUAAGCAGAUGACAUCUUUAAUGUAUACAGUAAGCAAUGCAAAGCACCGUAUGCAUGAUAUUACCAACAUCAGCAUGCCAAGUUAGAGCGAAGACCUCAUGGGGUAAAUAGGAGUGGUCUUCCCCUUCUGAAUCCCCCUCAGAACAGUUAUCUUCCUCUUGAUUACGAUCCGAAAUGGGUGGAGGGGGUGCUGCCUUUGCGCCCACCAUGGAACGACGUCUGCAUGAAAUUUUAUUGCCACGCAAGGCUCGUCUCUUUUGCUCUACAUGAUCAGUUCCAUUGUGUACAAUAACUGGCAUGCAUCGGAAUAAAACAUAGUGAGAUUAUGUAAGGUGUGCGUGCACAAAUCCAGAGUGAUGGUAGCAAACUGUGGAUAGACCCAAAACCAAUGAUAGCAGGCAGAUAAUAGCUUUAGUUAAAAAAUAUAGAUAAUGGCUCCUUUAAUGUUUGUUUGCACCCAACAUGAAACUCAUAGUAGACAUCGGAGAUUAACCAGAUAGUAGACAGAUAGUACUGAUUGCUGCCCCAAUAUGUACCCCACAACCAUUUAAAAACUCAAGUUUCAGCAUUAGUUUGGACCUGACUCGGAGUCUAAUAGGUGAACACGACGAUAAUGUAGCAUGUCAUCAUAUUAAGCGACGCAUAAUGUAAGCAGACACGGAAGAGUGCGACCUCUCUUGCGGACCCGUGUAGUCCUCAAGGUCAUCUGCUCAGUUGAUGAUGGUAAUGCAGUUGCCGUGGCUGCCGGCGGCGGGGAAGAAGAUCUGAGGCGGCGAAAGACAGUCUGGAGAGCGGAUCCCUGCUACGGUGAACCCUUCCGUCGUUGGAGCAGCUGAGCUAGGGUGGAACACAGCGCCGCAGGAGCAGGACAAACCACACAAGGUUUUCUUUGACACAUAUCUGUAACAGAAGUAAUUGAGUAAGGGCUUGUUUGAAUAUGAGGAUUCUAACAAUGCAGGGAUAGGAAAUAGACAGGAAUAGGAUAGGAAUGCACGUGCAAAACAGAGAAUUUAAAAACACAGGAUUUCUGCCAAUCUGGGUGUUUGAUUCACAACAAUUGGAAGAUCACAGGAUGCAAAAAAGCUUGGUGAGAUUAAGUCAAACCACAAGAAAAUGUACGGUUAUAAUGCUAUUAUGCUACUAUCUCUUAGUCUUGUGCUUGAUGAAUAGGAAUAUGAAAAGGAGGUGAAGUGGAAAUUAGAAUUCCUACGGUUUUUCUUUCAAGGAGACACUAAAGGAACAAAUCCUACAGUUUUCCUUUGCUCCAUUCCUUUGCACCAAAUUCAUGAAAAGUAGUACCGUAGGAAACUUUCCAAUUCCGAUGUUUUUCAUUCACUUUACCUUUCAAGCACUGGCGAUUCUAGUAGGCAGGCUUGAGCAAGGAAAAUCCUACACUAAAAAAAUGUUUUUGUGCUACUUCUAUUACUUUGGACCCAGGCCACUGCCAUACUAGCUCAACUCCCAGGCCCAUCGACAAAUGCACAGCUCAAACGCGCAGAGAUAAAUAAUGAUGGCGUUCAAGAGAGUCCAUCACGGAUAGCUAAGUUGCCUGGUACCUCACUGCUUGUCAUAUAGUAGGAUAAAAUAAUCGUAUUUCCCGUUACUACGAGUGCUCAGUGGACAAUGUAUAUAACAUGUAGAGUAAAAAAGAGAUGCAACAAGUGUACAACCUCUUUGGUGAAGCCAUGUUGAUCUCGGCGUGAUUGGGUUGGCCGGUGAGGAUGCUCCGGUUGACUUGGCUGUCGGAGGAGGGGAAGAAGAUCUUAGGCGUCUGGAGAUGGAGCCCGAGGUACUGCUCCACUGUGAUGGAGGGUUUCGUCGUUGGAGCAGCUCCGGUGAGUUGUACGACGCCGAGGCUGAAGCAGGACAAGAGAGACAACGAACAACGUUAACCUGAGUGGAAUUCUAAUAGCAUCUCCAAUACAUGACGUAAAAUACAUAACCACAAAGUGCUAGAUGUAAAAUACAUCAGCCGCUCAUCUCCGAACUUAACUAUCGAAACUGAAUUUAACUGUUGAAACUGAACUUAACUGUCAAAACUGAACUUAACUGUCGAAACUGAAUUUUGCUGUCGAAACUGAAUUUUGCUGUCGAAACUGAACACACUAGCAAGGUGAGGCUACACGUCGGUCGACUGACUUUUUCAUCUCUGGUCAGUCGAUUUUGCAGCCGUUGAAUACGAAAUCAAGGGCCUGCGGUUCAUCUUCAACCUCCACCCCCCUGAGCCGCCAGCCACCACCGGCCAAACAGCAGCCCCCCGCCGCCCGCGGCCGGCGGUGCGCCGCCCCGCCCGCCCCGAAAACACUCCCCACCGCCUGUCCGCCGCCGCCCCGGCCAUCCCUCUAGGCCCCCCCGUGCCGAGCUUUUUCUCCGGCGAUCCCCACGCCACCGCCCCGCCAACGCCCCGCCACCGCCGGCGACCACCGCCUCCAUCCUAAACCCUAAGAUAGAUAGUGGGGUACCUCUNNNNNNNNNNNNNNNNNNNNNNNNNNNNNNNNNNNNNNNNNNNNNNNNNNNNNNNNNNNNNNNNNNNNNNNNNNNNNNNNNNNNNNNNNNNNNNNNNNNNNNNNNNNNNNNNNNNNNNNNNNNNNNNNNNNNNNNNNNNNNNNNNNNNNNNNNNNNNNNNNNNNNNNNNNNNNNNNNNNNNNNNNNNNNNNNNNNNNNNNNNNNNNNNNNNNNNNNNNNNNNNNNNNNNNNNNNNNNNNNNNNNNNNNNNNNNNNNNNNNNNNNNNNNNNNNNNNNNNNNNNNNNNNNNNNNNNNNNNNNNNNNNNNNNNNNNNNNNNNNNNNNNNNNNNNNNNNNNNNNNNNNNNNNNNNNNNNNNNNNNNNNNNNNNNNNNNNNNNNNNNNNNNNNNNNNNNNNNNNNNNNNNNNNNNNNNNNNNNNNNNNNNNNNNNNNNNNNNNNNNNNNNNNNNNNNNNNNNNNNNNNNNNNNNNNNNNNNNNNNNNNNNNNNNNNNNNNNNNNNNNNNNNNNNNNNNNCCCCCACCCCCUGAAAAUCGACUGACCCAAAAGUCGAUUCAUCGACUGAAGUGCAGCUAAAUCAGAGCAGCAUCGCAAGCAAGAGCAAGAGCGAGAGCAGCAGCGCGAGCAAGAGCAAUAGCAAGAGCAGACCAGGCAGGGGACCGAGAGCAAGAGCAGAGCAGCAGCACGAGUGAGAGCUAAAGCAGCAGCAGCUCUUACUGAUGUGGACAUCGCUGCCGAGGGAGCGACGUCGUGGAGGAAGUGGCCGGCGACGCCGCCGUGGAUGGAGCCGCGCCAUGUCGUCUCGGGACCGAGCGCCGGCAGCACCGUGAGAUUGAAUCAAGAAGAAAAUGCGGCGAUUAGUGUACAACCUCUUUGGUGGCACCGAUUAGGCCGCAGCUUCAUCCGAGGAAACGGUGAUGAUGAUGCUCUUCCGGUGGUGCAGGUGAAGACGGCGGUGUGGGAAUGGAGGUGGCACGAAAGACGAGGGGAACGUCGGGGCAGCUCCUUGGAGGUGGAGGACGGGGUGGCUGAACCAGCGGGACGAUGAGAUCGACGACGGAUCCUCAUCCGGUACGGUGGAUGAGGGACGUCGAGGUGUUGCUGUGGACGACGUCGUCGGGGAAGAGGCUCCGGCUGGGUGGCGGACGGAGCAGGGUGUGGGGUUUCGUCGCGGGUUUUCGCGGCCUCGGUGUACGAAUGGGUGGGCGGAUGGGAUGGCAGUGGGGAACCAUGGCUUAGAGACGCGCUUGUCCGAAAUGUGGGGUAAGUUACAAAAGUACCCCCACCGAUUUGAGGCGGUUCUUUCAGUUCAGGGGUACCACGGGCAUUUCGCGUGUCGGGAUUUCACAGGAGGUGGGAGUUUUCGCGCGCGUUGUAAUUUCGGAAUAGCAAGGCGCGGGUUGAGAUGGAGGGAGUUGUCGGAGCACAACGAGACAAAGAUAUAUCUUAAAUAUUUCGGGCUAACAAGGCGCGGGUUGAAGAGGCGGGAGUUUCGCAGCGCGAUAGACAGAGACGCUAGCUUGAAUUUUCGGCAUAACAAGGCGCAGCUUGAAAUUUCGGAAGAACAAGCUUAACGUGUACCCAAGAAAAAGACAAUUUGCACCUCAACACGCACAACACACACAAACACCAUUUAGACUAGAGUAUGGUACACGUGCAUUGCACGCAUGAGAUUUGGCAACCAAAUUAUGAAUAAAUACCACAUCAUAGCAUGCAAGCUUUGAGUCAUAUAUGCAUGAUUUAGAUGUUCGUUUAAUUCUUAUAGUUCAUUUCAUUCAAAAUCAUCUAGUUUUUGUAAGAAAGCUAAUCUAUUUUAAGAUUCAUGGAAUUGUGCGUCGUAAGACAUAAAGUAAAAACAAAUAAUGGCAAAUCAUGUAGAAAAACAUUUGGGCAAUUCUGAUACGGAAGAUUCUAGAACAAAUAAUAAGUGCUUGUGUUUUGAUGUUUGUGCAUUAUGCUUAAGUUCAACCAUGGAGUCUUCUAGAUUAUACAUGUGGCGAAAUCUGGUGGAAUCUAGAUGAUAUCCAACGGCCAGUAGUGCUCAAAUUUGCCAUCUUUGGACCAUCGGAUUCGCCUCAUCCAACGACCAUCUUUCAAAGUUAAAGUUACCCGUACACAAUAUAAAAAUAUAAUAUAUAUAUAUAUAUAUAGGGGUAUAGAUAUAGAUAUGUGAUGCGAAAGCCGCCCAUCAUCUCCAAUUAGAAUAGUGUGUCCAUGCACGGAUGCGACGUGGCCAAAUGAUGUCUGCCAUCGGUAUCUCAAAUUCAAAUCAGUCUGACCUUGUUCAAUGUGUAUACAUUACAACAUGCCCGCUUCCAAACCACACCGCGCAGAUCUCCGUUAUAUUCAUGCAUGCAUGGGUUUCAAACAUCAGGAUCUCUUAUUCAAAUAUUUGAAUUCAACUUUACAUUGAUUAUGACCUCACCUAUUCUUUUACACCCACACAGUAGUCUUCUCUUUAUAAUUGUACGACUAACUUUCUCUCGUGCAUGCAUGCACACACACUACCAGUCGGCAUUAUCCAUCGCACACAUGCAAUCUUUUUCUUCAGGUCAGUCUCCCAUGAAGGCACACACCCACACACAUCCCCCUCUCCAUCAUAUCGGGCAUUCUUUAUCUCUCACGCGUGCAUGCGCAACGAUCGAUGUUCCUCUAUGUAUGUGUGUAUAUAGCUAGGUCUUUCAUAGUUUUCCACACAAACCGAUCAAUCGAUAUAUCCAGUGAGGUCUCACCCUCUUUCCCAUGUCCACAUCGAUCAAUCUAUACCUCUCUAUAUAGGAUUAACAUAUAUAGCUAAUACACCCACAUUAAUUAUAUAUCCAACGUCCCCCUCUCAUCAUCCAUGCCUUCCGCUUCAUCUCUCAGACGCGUGCACAAUGGCGAAGACAGGGGGCAGUAAGGGCCCUGCCCCCUCCCCCCUAACAUCACUAUAUAUCGAGGCUAAUAUGAAUGUGAUCAUUAGACAAUUGCUGCUAAAAAUGGUUUAAGUUCAUGAAUUGACCCUCCUCGUAAAGGAUUAGCAAUGCUUGGCCCCCUAGCUCAUUUAUUUUUCAUGGCUCCGCCACUGCGCGCAACAGCGCACGUGUUCGCCCCCUCUCUCUAAAUAUCGAUCUUGCACUUGUGCAUUCCUUCAUAGUCUCCCUCCACUCGGCCCCUCGCACCAUCUUCUAGCCCCCACCGGAUUUUGCCACAUGUACAAUCUAGCAGACUCCAUGGUUGAACUUAAGCAUAAUGCACAAACCUCAAAAUAACAGUGGUUCUCUUUUGUUCUAGAAUCUUCCGUAUCAUAACUGCCCAAACUUUUUUUCUAGUUGAAUUGCCAUUAUUUGUUUUUACCUUAUGCUUUACAACGCACAAUUCCAUGAAUCAUAAAAUAGAUUAAGGGCUUCUUUGAUUCAAAGGAUUCUCAAAGGAAUUUUGGAGGAUUCUAAUCAUUAGGAAUUUUUCCUAUCUUGGUUGUUUGAUUCGUAGGAUUGUAAACCAUAGGAAUUUUUCCAUAUGAUUCAUUUGCACUAGAUUUCAUAGGAAACAUCCCAUCCACUCAAACCUCUUUGAAAGAAUUCUGCAUUUUUUCUAUGCACAAUCAAACACUCGUACAAUCCUGUAGGAUUCAAGACGAUAUUUCAGUAUAAUCCCAUGUUUUUCCUAUUCCCGAGUUCUUAGCUUUUUUAUAAAAACUAAUUGAUUUUGAAUGAGAUGAACUAUAAGAAUUAAAAGAAGGUCUACAUCAGGCAUAUAUGACUCAGAGCUUACAUGCUAUAGUGUGGUAUUUAUUCAUAAUUUGGUUGCAAAAUCUGAUGCGUCGAAUGCACGUGUACCUUACUAGUACUUCGAGUAUGUGCAAAACACGUAAAUUAGAAUACCAAUGGCAUGCUACACAGUGUCUCUCUUACAGUUCAUGAAGCCACGUGGCACAUGUGGAGGCGUUGUCGCGACCUCCUUGCGUGGAUUGAUCACAGUGACGUGCUGCUGGUUACAGAAGAAUGUACUCGUCCUCCCUGAGCCAUACUGGCGGUACAUGCACGAAGCGAAGAUGUGCACGCAUGCCACACACGCACUCAUUCCCUCGCACGCACACGCGGGUACAUGGGUGGACGCAAUUUUGUACCAAGAUCCACCCCAUGUGAUAAUUUGACGCGUGUAAAGUCGUUCACUUCAUUGAUGGUCAAUUAAUACAGCGCAUGCAAAUUGAGUGGACGUGAGGGCGGAAGAAAGACAUUAUUACUCCACUGCGCGCAUGCGAGUAGUUAAAUCGUGGGUUGCUAGUAGUACUUCCAUUGGUCUCCUUCGUAUUUUAUGCCAAUUUUUGACAGUAACAUAAUAUUUACGCAUUUGAGCAGUGUAGUACUUGAAAUUUAUGUUCCGCUAAACUCAUCGGGAGCCGUUUCGGGCCUCGAAACCAAAACCAUCAAUUAAUCUUUACCUUGUUCCCAUCACAUUCGAAAGCCUGCUCACACCUACUAGUACGUACCAAACCUGAACGUGUUCCCACUAUGCAGGUAUUAGUACUAGUGCUAGUACUUAGGUUAUAAAAAGGGGAACUACCUAACCGAAAAUUACUCUACCUUUCCUCCUCAUAAGUGCUUCUUCUUCGUCCGUCGUUCCCAUGGCCGGUGAGCAGAGCUCUAGGUCGAGAACUACUCGUAACAAGGGAGCGGCAACCAAGGCUACGGAAAAAAGAGGGCUCGCCGCCACGCAGAGACCUCGAAAGAUCUCUCACGGGCAGGCGAUGGCUCCCAGGAGCGCCCUAGCUGCGGAGGCGAACGUGCCGAGCCGGCGGAGCUGGAGUCGUUAUCCCUCGACGGCAUGCCCGAUCAGCUCAAUAAGCAGAAGGAGUUCAUCCAAGGCUUGAUGGAGUUGCUGAAGGAGAGCCUCGACGACAUGCCCGCUGAGCUCAAUCAGCAAGGGGAGUUGACCGCCGGCUUGGUGAUGCUGCUGAAGAAGAGCAUUGCCUCGGAGAAGAAGGCGACCGGCGAAAUCCUUUGACUUCAGGAGGACAAGGCGAAGCUCUGCCACGAGAUCGACCUGUUGAAGGAGAAGAACGCCGGCUGGAAGAAGCUGCAUGAGAAUAGUAGUUCCUCGAUGAAGAUGCUGCAGGCCCUCGUCAUGGAACAGAAGGAGGAGUUGGCGAAGCUCCGCAUCGAGCACCCGGCUGCUGUCAAGGUACGUAAUGCGGCCAUGGAACAGAUGAUGAAGGCUCGCGUCGAGAAUUCCCGCGUCAUGGACAGAAUGAAGAAGAUCGCGGAGGAGACGCGCAAGGACAUGGAGGUCCUGGAGGCGAUGAAGAAGCAGUUACGACUCUGUGGUGAAUUAGAUCAUUUGGGGUGAUAAUCUUCCUUCUUCUUUUGCUCCUGUGUUUCAUCUUUUGCUUCGGGUGUUUCGCCGCACGUGUCACGUUCUCUGCGAGGCAUGAAUAGAACAAUGUUUUUUUGAGGGAAUAAAUAGAACAAUGCUAACAAUGAGAUGACUAGCAAAUUAGAUCAUUUUUUAUCGCCAUAUGGCACUGGGCUGCCGUGAUUCGUGCUCCUCCGUCGCAGUACUACUCCAGUGGAAAACUUGAGUAUACCGCACGGUUAGUUGCUCCUCCUCAAUCAGGUCGUCAGCGCAUUUGUACGAGCAGUCAAAUCACAAGGCCCCGCCUUCCAGCAGUAAUGAGCCGUCAAAUCACAAAGGCCCUCGCCUCUCGUGAAACCGACCAAGCUAGACUGCCCCGCCCUCUAGCCUUUUAAAAAAUGUAUACUUUUGUACAACAGUAGUAUCGAUGGAUUGCGCCAUGGAGCAAAACUUGAAAUUAAAAAAAAGGUGGUACAUAUAGAGAGCGCUCGUCGCCAAAUUAUGCAUAUAGUACUAUUAAAAAGGCUAGUCACAAUAAUGGUGUCCAGCACAACCCACCCCUCAAAUAAAACUAAGAGGGUGCUUGGAUACGUUUUAGUCCCAUGACUAAAAGCAGUGGGACUAAAACAUGCUAGCCUCACCCAUGCUUGGAUCCAAAUACUAAAAAGGCUAAAAUCAAGUUAAUGAGCAUUUAUUAUCCUCCAAACCCUCCAAUCCAGAACUCGCAUGUGUUAAAGGAGAGGAGUUAAAUGAGUAGAGAGAGGACUAAUCCACAUUUUAGUAGGGGUACCCCUGACUAAAAUUUUUUAGUCUCAAGACUAGUUUUAGCCCCUCUUUAGUCAGGGGUGCUUGGAACUUUAGCCUCUUAAAGAGACUAUUUUUAGUCAGACUAAAAUAAGUCCCUUGGAUCCAAGCACCCUCUAAGCAUCCUGGAAUUCUUUGACAAAACUAAGCACCCUGAAAUUCUUUGACAACUAAACUGCUGGCUAUAUGAUGUUGGCCAUAUAUAUUGUACGUAUAUAAUGUGAAGAAACGAGUGGUAGUACUAUACCAACUAAAAGAUGAAAUGUAAGAAAUACUAGUACGUACGUACUGAAGAGUUAAGUAACGAGAAGAAACAUAACAUAGUUCCGCUGGGGGCUCAGCACAACACACCCCUCAAAUUAAAUUAAGCCCACCUGAAAUUAAACUUUGCAACUAUUCCGGUAGACACUGCAUUAGAACCACCAUGAGCAACGACACUGCCACCUUACUCGGAGUCCUCGUCCACGUCCUCGACUUCGUCCUUGUCCCUCUUCCUCUUGGCCGAUACUUCUUUGCUUGAACCGCACACUUGGCUGUUGCUCUUCAUCCAACCCUUGUAGAUAUUGAAGCAAAGGUAGCCAUCCAUUGCAGUGUAGUGGAUGUGGUCUAUAUCUAGUACAUUCCGCUGCCAUGCAUGACGAUGAAACGUGUAUGGAGGUUUCUCCAGUUUACCGUACGAAGGAUGAACCAUGGCUCCUGCCAGGGUCAGCAUUGAAGGCUGACGAGAGGACACCAGCCGAUUCUUCUAGAGGUCGAAGGUGUUGCCUACAACGAGGCCUAUCCGACGCAGGACUUCUUUGUCGUUACCAAAGUCUAUAGUAACGAAUUUGACUAGGUUGCUCUCGAGGAAGUCCUUAAAAUCCUGGCACUCAACGUCGGCAUGGCAUAUGUGGUAGACCAAGCAUAAGUCAUGCACGCAAACCUGGAUCACGGAGGGCUUCUUCCUCUCUUCGUCCUUUAGAUCCUUCUCUCGUCCCAGGACUGUGGUGUACUCAACAUCUAGCCCAGCGACCCACUCAUCAUCUGAGUCUUCGAACAUGCGUCUGAAGCGAGAAAGGCAUCCUUUCACCGUCGCGGAAGAACGGGUGUAGAUGACGUCGAAAUCAUCGCCGGUGAUGGUUCUAACUGUUGGGAAUCGUAGCAUAAUUUUAAAAUUUUCCUACGCUCACCAAGAUCCAUCUAUGGAGUAUACUAGCAACGAGGGGAAAGGAGUGCAUCUACAUACCCUUGUAGAUCGCGAGCGGAAGCGUUCCAAUGAACGAGGUUGAUGGAGUCGUACUCGCCGUGAUCCAAAUCACCGAUGACCGAGUGCCGAACGAACGGCACCUCCGCGUUCAACACACGUACGGAGCAGCGACGUUCUCCUCCUUCUUGAUCCAGCAAGGGGGAAGGAGAGGUUGAUGGAGAUCCAGCAGCACGACGGCGUGGUGGUGGAUGUAGCGGGGUCUCGGCAGGGCUUCGCCGAGCUUCUGCGAGAGGGAGAGGUGUUGCAGGGGAGGAGGGAGGCGCCCAAGGCUGUUGUGUUGCUGCCCUCCCUCCCCCCUUUAUAUAGGCCCCCUGGGAGGGGGGGGGGCGCCGUCCAAGACCCAUCUGGAGGGGGGGGGGCGGCGGCCAGGGGGGAGACUUGCCCCCCAAGGCAAGUGGGGCGCCCCCCACCCUAGGGUUUCCAACCCUAGGCGUAGGGGGGAGGCCCAUGGGGGGCACCCCAGCCCACUAAGGGCUGGUUCCCUUCCCACUUCAGCCCACGGGGCCCUCCGGGAUAGGUGGCCCCACCCGGUGGACCCCCGGGACCCUUCCGGUGGUCCCGGUACAAUACCGGUGACCCCGAAACUUGACUUCCUAUAUAUAAUUCUUCACCUCCGGACCAUUCCAGAACUCCUCGUGACGUCCGGGAUCUCAUCCGGGACUCCGAACAACUUUCGGGUUUCCGCAUACUCAUAUCUCUAAAACCCUAGCGUUACCGAACCUUAAGUGUGUAGACCCUACGGGUUCGGGGGACAUGCAGACAUGACCGAGACGCCUCUCCGGUCAAUAACCAACAGCGGGAUCUGGAUACCCAUGUUGGCUCCCACAUGUUCCACGAUGAUCUCAUCAGAUGAACCACGAUGUCGGGGAUUCAAUCAAUCCCGUAUACAAUUCCCUUUGUCAAUCGGUAUGUUACUUGCCCGAGAUUCGAUCGUCGGUAUCCCAAUACCUUGUUCAAUCUCGUUACCGGCAAGUCUCUUUACUCGUACCGCAAUGCAUGAUCCCGUGACUAACGCCUUAGUCACAUUGAGCUCAUUAUGAUGAUGCAUUACCGAGUGGGCCCAGAGAUACCUCUCCGUCAUACGGAGUGACAAAUCCCAGUCUCGAUCCGUGCCAACUCAACAGACACUUUCGGAGAUACCCGUAGUGCACCUUUAUAGUCACCCAGCAACGUUGUGACGUUUGGCACACCCAAAGUACUCCUACGGUAUCCGGGAGUUGCACGAUCUCAUGGUCUAAGGAGAAGAUACUUGACAUUGGAAAAUCUCUAGCAAACGAACUACACGAUCUUUGAGCUAUGCUUAGGAUUGGGUCUUGUCCAUCACAUCAUUCUCCUAAUGGUGUGAUCCCGUUAUCAAUGACAUCCAAUGUCCAUAGUCAGGAAACCAUGACUAUCUGUUGAUCAACGAGCUAGUCAACUAGAGGCUUACUAGGGACACAUUGUGGUCUAUGUAUUCACACAUGCAUUACGAUUUCCGGAUGACACAAUUAUAGCAUGAACAAUAGACAAUUACCAUGAACAAAGAAAUAUAAUAAUAACCAUUUAUUAUUGCCUCUAGGGCAUAUUUCCAACAGUCUCCCACUUGCACUAGAGUCAAUAAUCUAGUUACAUUGUGAUGAAUCGAACACCCGUUGCGUCCUGGUGUUGAUCAUGUUUUGCUCUAGGGAGAGGUUUAGUCAACGGAUCUGCUACAUUCAGGUCCGUAUGUACUUUACAAAUAUCUAUGUCUCCAUUUUGAAAACUUUCACGAAUGGAGUUGAAGCGACGCUUGAUAUGCCUGGUCUUCCUGUGAAACCUGGGCUCCUUCGCAAGGGCAAUAGCUCCAGUGUUGUCACAGAAGAGAGUCAUCGGGCCCGACGCAUUGGGAAUCACCCCUAGGUCGGUAAUGAACUCCUUCAUCCAGACUGCUUCCUGUGCUGCCUCCGAGGCUGCCAUGUACUCCGCUUCACAUGUAGAUCCUGCCACGACGCUUUGCUUGCAACUGCACCAGCUUACUGCUCCUCCAUUCAAAAUAUACACGUAUCCGGUUUGUGACUUCGAGUCAUCCAGAUCUGUGUCAAAGCUAGCGUCGACGUAACCCUUUACGACGAGCUCUUCGUCACCUCCAUAAACGAGAAACAUAUCCUUAGUCCUCUUCAGGUACUUCAGGAUAUUCUUGACCGCUGUCCAGUGUUCCAUGCCGGGAUUACUUUGGUACCUUCCUACCAAACUUACGGCAAGGUUUACAUCAGGUCUGGUACACAGCAUGGCAUACAUAAUAGACCCUAUGGCCGAGGCAUAGGGGAUGACACUCAUCUUUUCUCUAUCUUCUGCCGUGGUCGGGCAUUGAGCCGUGCUCAAUUGCGCACCUUGCAAUACAGGCAAGAACCCCUUCUUGGACUGAUCCAUAUUGAACUUCUUCAAUAUCUUGUCAAGGUACGUACUCUGUGAAAGACCAAUGAGGCGUCUUGAUCUAUCUCUAUAGAUCUUGAUGCCUAAUAUAUAAGCAGCUUCUCCAAGCUCCUUCAUUGAAAAACACGUAUUCAAAUAGGCCUUUAUACUUUCCAAGAAUUCUAUAUCAUUUCCCAUCAAUAGUAUGUCAUCCACAUAUAAUAAGAGAAAUGCUACAGAGCUCCCACUCACUUUCUUGUAAACACAGGCUUCUCCAUAAGUCUGUGUAAACCCAAACGCUUUGAUCAUCUCAUCAAAGCGAAUGUUCCAACUCCGAGAUGCUUGCACCAGCCCAUAGAUUGAGCGCUGGAGCUUGCAUACUUUGUUAGCAUUCUUAGGAUCGACAAAACCUUCCGGCUGCAUCAUAUACAAUUCUUCCUUAAGGGAGCCGUUAAGGAAUGCCAUUUUGACGUCCAUCUGCCAUAUCUCAUAAUCAUAGUAUGCGGCAAUUGCUAACAUGAUUCGGACGGACUUCAGCUUCGCUACGGGUGAGAAAGUCUCAUCGUAGUCAACCCCUUGAACUUGUCGAUAACCCUUAGCGACAAGUCGAGCCUUAUAGAUGGUCACACUACCAUCCGCGUCUGUCUUCUUCUUAAAGAUCCAUUUGUUUUCUAUGGCUCGCCGAUCAUCGGGCAAGUCAGUCAAAGUCCAUACUUCGUUUUCAUACAUGGAUCCUAUCUCGGAUUUCAUGGCUUCUAGCCAUUUGUCGGAAUCCGGGCCCGCCAUCGCUUCUUCAUAGUUCGAAGGUUCACCGUUGUCUAACAACAUGAUUUCCAGGACAGGGUUGCCGUACCACUCUGGUGCGGAACGUGUCCUUGUGGACCUACGAAGUUCAGCAGUAACUUGAUCCGAAGCUUCAUGAUCAUCAUCAUUAACUUCCUUCCCAGUCGGUGUAGGCACCACAGGAACAUCUUCCCGCGCUGCGCUACUUUCCAGUUCGGAAGGGGUGACUAUCACCUCAUCAAGUUCCACUUUCCUCCCACUCAAUUCUUUCGAGAGAAACUCUUUCUCCAGAAAGGACCCAUUCUUGGCAACAAAGAUCUUGCCUUCGGAUAUGAGGUAGAAGGUAUACCCAAUAGUUUCCUUAGGGUAUCCUAUGAAGACGCAUUUCUCCGACUUGGGUUCGAGCUUUUCAGGUUGAAGUUUCUUGACAUAAGCAUCGCAUCCCCAAACUUUUAGAAAUGAUAGCUUAGGUUUCUUCCCAAACCAUAAUUCAUACGGUGUCAUCUCAACGGAUUUCGAUGGAGCCCUAUUUAAAGUGAAUGCGGCAGUCUCUAAAGCAUAGCCCCAAAAUGAGAACGGUAAAUCGGUAAGAGACAUCAUAGAUCGCACCAUAUCCAAUAGAGUGCGAUUACGACGUUCGGACACACCGUUUCGCUGAGGUGUUCCAGGCGGCGUGAGUUGUGAAACGAUUCCACAUUUCUUUAAGUGCGCACCAAAUUCGUGACUUAAAUAUUCUCCACCACGAUCUGAUCGUAAGAAUUUUAUUUUCCUGUCACGUUGAUUCUCAACCUCACUCUGAAAUUCCUUGAACUUUUCAAAGAUUUCAGACUUGUGUUUCAUUAGGUAGACAUACCCAUAUCUACUUAAGUCAUCAGUGAGAGUGAGAACAUAACGAUAUCCUCCGCGAGCCUCAACACUCAUUGGACCGCACACAUCGGUAUGUAUGAUUUCCAAUAAGUUGGUUGCUCGCUCCAUUGUUCCGGAGAACGGAGUCUUGGUCAUCUUACCCAUGAGGCAUGGUUCACACGUGUCAAAUGAUUCGUAAUCGAGAGACUCCAAAAGUCCAUCUGCAUGGAGCUUCUUCAUGCGCUUGACACCAAUGUGACCAAGGCGGCAGUGCCACAAGUAUGUGGGACUAUCGUUAUCAACUUUUCAUCUUUUGGUAUUCACACUAUGAAUAUGUGUAACAUCACGUUCGAGAUUCAUCAAGAAUAAACCAUUGACCAGCGGGGCAUGACCAUAAAACAUAUCUCUCAAAUAAAUAGAACAACCAUUAUUCUCGGAUUUAAAUGAGUAGCCAUCUCGAAUUAACGAGAUCCAGAUACAAUGUUCAUGCUCAAAGCUGGCACUAAAUAACAAUUAUUGAGGUCUAAAACUAAUCCCGUAGGUAGAUGCAGAGGUAGCGUGCCGACGGCGAUCACAUCGACCUAGGAACCAUUCCCGACGCGCAUCGUCACCUCGUCCUUUGCCAGUCUCCGUUUAUUCCGCAGUUCCUAUUUUGAGUUACAAAUAUGAGCAACCGCACCGGUAUCAAAUACCCAGGAGCUACUACGAGUACUUGUAAGGUACACAUCAAUUACAUGUAUAUCACAUAUACCUUUGGUGUUGCCGGCCUUCUUGUCCGCUAAGUAUUUGGGGCAGUUCCGCUUCCAGUGACCACUUCCCUUGCAAUAAAAGCACUCAGUCUCAGGCUUGGGUCCAUUCUUUGACUUCUUCCCGACAACUGGCUUACCGGGCGCGGCAACUCCCUUGCCGUCCUUCUUGAAGUUCUUCUUACCCUUGCCCUUCUUGAACUUAGUGGUUUUAUUCACCAUCAACACUUGAUGUUCUUUUCUGAUCUCCACCUCCGCUGAUUUCAGCAUCGAAUAUACCUCAGGAAUGGUCUUUUCCAUCCCCUGCAUAUUGAAGUUCAUCACAAAGCUCUUGUAGCUUGGUGGAAGCGACUGAAGGAUUCUGUCAAUGACCGCGUCAUCCGGGAGAUUAACUCCCAGCUGAGACAAGCGGUUGUGUAACCCAGACAUUCUGAGUAUGUGCUCACUAACAGAACUAUUCUCCUCCAUUUUACAGCUGAAGAACUUGUCGGAGACUUCAUAUCUCUCGACCCGGGCAUGAGCUUGGAAAACCAUUUUCAGCUCUUCGAACAUCUCAUAUGCUCCAUGCUUCUCAAAACUCUUCUGGAGCCCCAGUUCUAAGCUGUAAAGCAUGCCGCACUGAACGAGGGAGUAAUCAUCAGCACGUGAUUGCCAAGCGUUCAUAACGUCUUGGUUCUCUGGGAUUGGCGCUUCACCUAGCGGUGCUUCUAAGACAUAAUCUUUCUUGGCUGCUAUGAGGAUGAUCCUCAGAUCCCGGACCUAGUCCGUAUAGUUGCUGCCAUCAUCUUUCAGCUUGGUUUUCUCUAGGAACGCGUUGAAGUUGAGGACAACGUGGGCCAUUUGAUCUACAAGACAUAUUGUAAAGAUUUUAGACUAAGUUCAUGAUAAUUAAGUUCAUAUAAUCAAAUUAUCCAAUGAACUCCCACUCAGAUAGACAUCCCUCUAGUCAUCUAAGUGAAACAUGAUCCGAGUUAACUAGGCCGUGUCCGAUCAUCACGUGAGACAGACUAGUCAAGAUCGGUGAACAUCUCCAUGUUGAUCGUAUCUUCUAUACGACUCAUGCUCGACCUUUCGGUCCUCCGUGUUCCGAGGCCAUGUCUGUACAUGCUAGGCUCGUCAAGUCAACCUAAGUGUAUUGCGUGUGUUCCGAGGCCAUGUCUGUACAUGCUAGGCUCGUCAACACUCGUUGUAUGCGAACGUUAGAAUCUAUCACACCCGAUCAUCACGUGGUGCUUCGAAACAACGAACCUUCGCAACGGUGCACAGUUAGGGUGAACACUUCCUUGAAAUUAUCAUAAGGGAUCAUCUUACUUACUACCGCCGUUCUAAGAAAAUAAGAUGCAAAAUAUGAUAAACAUCACAUGCAAUCAAAUAGUGACAUGAUAUGGCCAAUAUCAUUUUGCUCCUUUGAUCUCCAUCUUCGGGGCACCAUGAUCAUCUUCAUCACCGGCAUGACACCAUGAUCUCCAUCAUCGUGUCUUCAUGAAGUUGUCAUGCCAACGAUUACUUCUACUUCUAUGGCUAACGCGUUUAGCAAUAAAGUAAAGUAAUUUACAUGGCGUUAUUCAAUGACACGCAGGUCAUACAAAAUAAUAAAGACAACUCCUAUGGCUCCUGCCGGUUGUCAUACUCAUCGACAUGCAAGUCGUGAUUCCUAUUACAAGAAUAUGAUCAAUCUCAUACAUCACAUAUAUCAUUCAUCACAUCUUCUGGCCAUAUCACAUCACAUAGCACAUGCUGUAAAAACAAGUUAGACGUCCUCUAAUUGUUGUUGCAAGUUUUUUCGUGUCUUGUAGGUUUCUAGCAAGAACGUUUCUUACCUACGUAUGACCACAACGUGAUAUGCCAAUUUCUAUUUACCCUUCAUAAGGACCCUUUUCAUCGAAUCCGUUCCGACUAAAGUGGGAGAGACAGACACCCGCUAGCCACCUUAUGCAACUAGUGCAUGUCAAUCGGUGGAACCUGUCUCACGUAAGCGUACGUGUAAGGUCGGUCCGGGCCGCUUCAUCCCACAAUGCCGCCGAAACAAGAUAAGACUAGUAACGGCAAGAAGAAUUGGCAACAUCUACGCCCAGAACUGCUUUGUGUUCUACUUGUGCAUAGUAACUACGCAUAGGCCUGGCUCAUGAUGCCACUGUUGGGAAUCGUAGCAUAAUUUUAAAAGUUUCCUACGCUCACCAAGAUCCAUUUAUGGAGUAUACUAGCAACGAGGGGAAAGGAGUGCAUCUACAUAACCUUGUAGAUCGCGAGCGGAAGCGUUCCAAUGAACGAGGUUGAUGGAGUCGUACUCGCCGUGAUCCAAAUCACCGAUGACCGAGUGCCGAACGGACGGCACCUCCGCGUUCAACACACGUACGGAGCAGCGAUGUUCUCCUCCUUCUUGAUCCAGCAAGGGGGAAGGAGAGGUUGAUGGAGAUCCAGCAGCACGACGGCGUGGUGGUGGAUGUAGUGGGGUCUCGGCAGGGCUUCGCCGAGCAUCUGCGAGAGGGAGAGGUGUUGAAUGGGAGGAGGGAGGCGCCCAAGGCUGUUGUGUUGCUGCCUUCCCUCCCCCCUUUAUAUAGGCCCCCUGGGAGGGGGGGCACCGGCCAAGACCCAUCUGGAGGGGGGGGGGGGCGGCGGCCAGCGGGAGACUUGCCCCCCAAGGCAAGUGGGGCGCCCCCCACCCUAGGGUUUCCAACCCUAGGCGCAGGGGGGAGGCCCAUGGGGGGCGCCCCAGCCCACUAAGGGCUGGUUCCCUUCCCACUUCAGCCCACGGGGCCCUCCGGGAUAGGUGGCCCCACCCGGUGGACCCCCGGGACCCUUCCGGUGGUCCCGGUACAAUACCGGUGACCCCCGAAACUUUCCCGGUGGCCGAAACUUGACUUCCUAUAUAUAAUUCUUCACCUCCGGACCAUUCCGGAACUCCUCGUGACGUCCGGGAUCUCAUCCAGGACUCCGAACAACUUUCGGGUUUCCGCAUACUCAUAUCUCUACAACCCUAGCGUCACCGAACCUUAAGUGUGUAGACCCUACGGGUUCGGGAGACAUGCAGACAUGACCGAGACGCCUCUCCGGUCAAUAACCAACAGCGGGAUCUGGAUACCCAUGUUGGCUCCCACAUGUUCCACGAUGAUCUCAUCGGAUGAACCACGAUGUCGAGGAUUCAAUCAAUCCCGUAUACAAUUCCCUUUGUCAAUCGGUAUGUUACUUGCCCGAGAUUCGACCGUCGGUAUCCCAAUACCUUGUUCAAUCUCGUUACCGGCAAGUCUCUUUACUCGUACCGCAAUGCACGAUCCCGUGACUAACGCCUUAGUCACAUUGAGCUCAUUAUGAUGAUGCAUUACCGAGUGGGCCCAGAGAUACCUCUCCGUUAUACGGAGUGACAAAUCCCAGUCUCGAUCCGUGCCAACUCAACAGACACUUUCGGAGAUACCCGUAGUGCACCUUUAUAGUCACCCAGUUACGUUGUGACGUUUGGCACACCCAAAGUACUCCUACGGUAUCCGGGAGUUGCACGAUCUCAUGGUCUAAGGAGAACAUACUUGACAUUGGAAAAGCUCUAGCAAACGAACUACACGAUCUUUGAGCUAUGCUUAGGAUUGGGUCUUGUCCAUCACAUCAUUCUCCUAACGAUGUGAUCCCGUUAUCAAUGACAUACAAUGUCCAUAGUCAGGAAACCAUGACUAUCUGUUGAUCAACGAGCUAGUCAACUAGAGGCUUACUAGGGACACGUUGUGGUCUAUGUAUUCACACGUGCAUUACGAUUUCCGGAUGACACAAUUAUAGCAUGAACAAUAGACAAUUACCAUGAACAAAGAAAUAUAAUAAUAACCAUUUAUUAUUGCCUCUAGGGCAUCUUUCCAACACUAACCUUGUACUCACCGCCGAUCGUGGAGAUUUGGGAUGCCAUGGAUUUGGGAGGAGGGUUAGGAUUAGUGGAACUGCCGUAAUGUGAAUGGACGGGACGACUAGGAGCGAACCUCCGUAGUAUUGGAGGACGUGCGGGGACGAGUAGGAGCGAAGUGCCAGCGUGCGAACGGCAGGGUAGUGGCUUUCCAUUCUCCCAUGAUACGGGCUUCCGAGAGCCCUUGGAUCUGAGAUCGAACGGUUGCAUGGCGUGAUUCUAGACCUAUGGGUAAAUAUCCUAUCCUGGAGGGUUAUUCUGCAAAUUUUCAGCAACUUAGCAUGCGACCGUUUGAUCUCAGAUCCAAGGGCUGCCAGCAGCCCGUAUCAUGGUCGCGCCUACCAUGACUGUCGCGUCGCUCGCGCGGUCGCGCCCUUGGAGAUUUAACACGGUGCGUUAGGCUAUCUGAUGUUGGCAUGUCAUACAUAGUCAUCACUUAGUCACUCAUACUACAACAAGGUUGGCUAUAAGGUUGGCUAUAAGUGUAUUUUUUUACUCCUCUCUAUCUCUUUAUUUGUACUCCCUCCGUCCCAUAAUAUAAGAAUGUUUUUGACACUAGUGUAGUGCCAAAAACGUUCUUAUAUUAUGGGACACAAGGAGUACUAGUAUUUAUUGCAUUUGCCAAGGAGUGACCUCUUCCAAUGAAAUGGUGUUGCUAAGUUUGCUUCAUUUAAUUAGCUAUAGACUCAAAAUUGUCUUUUCACCUAGGUACACGCGCUUAACACCGUUUCUUCCUUGGGUCACCAAACUAGUCUCUCUCUUCUUGAUUAACUUGCCACAUAAGACUUUAUGCCUAUGUGGCAAGCUUAAGCACCUGUAGGAGCAAGUAAAAGUAAGUACAGUAGUGCGCUUUACAUGGCAUUUUUGCAUAUGUGGAGGAAAGAGAGGCAAGAAAAAAGUGGAGAAGUGGGCUCUCAUGCAAGAGCCAGCCUCUACUACAUGGUGGAGCAUUGGGAGAGGCACCUGUAUGGAGGUGGUCAGGAAUCGGGAGACUCACGCCGGUCAUAGCGCCGCAGUUAAAAUGAUAAUGGCAAGUCAAAUCACGGGGCCCCACCUGUACAACAGUAACUCGCUGUCAAAUCACACAGCCCUACGUUUGCAGCAGCCUACUCCCUCGUCUUCUCGCGUCUCUGUCGAACCGACUAGGCGGAACUGCCCCGCCACCUACCGCGCAGGAACUGCCCCGCCCUCGACUUUUAAAUAGUAUACAGUAUACUAAUUUUGUAUCCAUGGAUUGCGCCCGCGCCAUGGAGCAAAGCGUCUAGAAAACGGCGGUACACAUGUACGGAGUAUACAGCACGCCCGUCGCGUUCGCGUCGCAGCCCAGACGGUCGGUCGGUCUGGCACGCUGCUCUCCGAAUGGAACGCGCGUCAUAUUGCGUUUGCACACACAUGUGGGACGACAAUUGAGAACCGACCAUAGGCACACUCCCCGGCCCCGCAAGUCGGGUGACUUAAUAGAAGAGGGAGACGAGCGAUAGUACUAGAGAAGUGUUGUACUACGUUGGUGCCUGGACGAUCCCUGCAAGACACGGAAGAUCAGUUCAUCCAUGCAUGUGACCAUACUCCAGCAGACACGCCUGGAUUGGCUAUUGUCUACAUAUCGUGCAGGCUGUGUUGUACAUGGCUGUAGUUGUGGUGAGAAAUCUAAAAAAAGGUUUCUUGUCAUCUCGCAAAAUUAGGUGUCAUGUGCUUCGGAUCACUGCGAGGGUUAAACAGCGACAACUGAGUUGGGGUAGUCAUUGGGGGCACAUGCACGAACAGUGACUACUCGGCUGCCAUCUAGGUCAAGCCGGCUAUGUUAAUUAGGACAUCUAUCGACGGAUCUCUUUUCUACGAGUUUAUCAUUUAUCUUUAAUUUGAGCUUUGUUCCUCGUCUAGUUUGUCCGUCGGGAUUCAUGUUGUCUCCUUUGGGCAGUGAGGUUAUGAUUUCUUGUCAUGUGGAAUUUUUUUGUGUUAUAUGUUAUAAUCCGGCACUUCAGAUCAAAAUGACGACAACUGCGCCUCCGGGCCACGUGCAUGAAGACUUCUCGGCAGUCAUUGACGAGGUCAAGCCGGCUCCGGUAGACAAAAGAAACUAGUACUACUCCACUAUAUAGGCAGGAGCCUCCGCGCUUGCUUGUUAGUGUUUCUCUCUUCACACUAUCUCGGCCUCUCCAGAUCUAAACACGACAUCGGUGGCCACACACACUCUCUCUCUCUCUGCUCACCGCUGGUCACAGAUCCAGCCGGAUCCUCUCCGCCGGGGAAGGUGAGAAGGUGCAACGUUCACGCGGUCGUCCUCGGCGACGGCACUUACCCACUACUGGGCGCGUCCCGAUCAGCCUGCCUUGCCGUUCUCUCCCAAGCACCGCUGGCGAGGGAGGGCCUCCGACCCCUUCUACCUCGCUGUCGUCGUGUGGGCAGAUCCGGCCUCCCGCCGCCCACCUAGCGACAUCCCGGCGACCAUCAGGUAUAACUUCCUUCGAAACCGGCCUUGCUCCAAUUCCCGAGCUCCUGACGUCGCUGCAUUUGUAUCUUUUACUAUUUCUCAGGCCCCCUCGUAGAUAGGAUCGAUCGGCUGUUCGAAAACCACCUAAUUUUUUUACGUUUAAGAGGUAAAACUAGUUCAUACACUCGAAUCUAGUACUACUUGGUUCAAACAAGGAAGAAAGGGGGUGGGGUGGGGGAGGAUUUGUUACCUGAAUCUAGGACUUGGUCGAAAGAGGAAAUAAUGGGGGCGAAAAGUAGCAGAGACUGGCUAUCCAACUGGUCUGUAGAUCUAAUAGGGAAAUAAAGGGAAACGCAGUACAAACUCAAUAUAAACCCGAUCUAUUGGUUGAAAAAGGAAAGAAAGUGGGGACUGGGGGACAAGUCAACAGAGUAAGUCCAGCACUAGAUUUGCUAGCCUCACACAGUAUAAGGUGGCUAUACAGAACAAAAAUGGGACCAACCCAGAUAUCCUGUUCUGAUGUUUGUUGCCCCGAGCCACUCUUAUGUAAUGCCACUGGUAAAAUAUAGCAGUCGCACUGUUAAAAGUAAGGACACGUUAAACCAAUGUUGUUUUCAAUGUAAUGCCUCCAGUAAUAUGAAUCAAUGGCACUUCUUUACAUGUCCUGCUAAAAUUUCCCAUUAAGAUAAGUUGGUUCUUUUCGUUAGAAAUGCAACUGUCCUGGUCCGCCUACUCUCCCGUGCCCAAAGUAAUGUUGUAUUUAACGGUUGUCAAAGUUAAUCCUAAUGCCCACACUAAUAUCUAGCAAUGCCAGUGCUUUAGAAAUUUCUACUGUCCUUGUAGGAUUGCCAUUCAGAUAAGGAACAUGCUUCUUUUCAUUUGAUGCAUGUUUCAUCACUUGUUAGUCACCCUCCUUUCCACCUUUUUUGUGCAAACAGAGAUAUACAUUUCACGCUUGAUCUUAGUUGAACAACACAAAUGAUAUCCAAAUUAUAGUUGAGCAUUCCAGGAGCUUCACAACCAACCUUGAUGUUGCUCAAUUUUAUUGCAACUAAUGAAGAAGAAGCUCUGUGGGUUUCGUUUUUAGAUGGAAAUGGAGCCGGGGCUGGAGCCCUUUUCUUAAAAAAAGUUGAAGAAGAAGCUGCUAGCUCACGGGACAUUGCUUCAUUUUAGGUGAACUGCACCAAAAGGUCCCAUGAAUUGAAUCAUCCAUGUUGGUGACUGAAAGAGCCAGCUUCAGCAUCCCAGUCUAAGCACCCCCGGCCUCCAUCCUUGCGAUGCACGGUACACCUCGUUUGCCACCUGCUCGACCCUAGUGUCACUAAUAAAAUGAAGUAAAAAUACAGUUAAAAUAGAGCGAGUGUCAUCUCUAUCAUUUCAUUUCCAAUGUAGAUAAAGAAAGUGCUUCUCUUUGUUAAUGUAUGUUUCAUCAACUAGUCCCAUUGUUAAUGUUUAAGCAUUUCUGCAAACUGGGGUGCUUAAUUUUAGUUGAUAUGUACAAAAAUAGAGAUUUGAAUGUCUCAAGGCGCUUCCGUGUACUACCGCUCUACACUGAUGUUUAUCACUGGCAGAAGGUGUAUCUGGGAGACUUGGGACAAUGUCCAGUAUGAGGCGUACCGUAUGAGGCGUCGCAGAGCCCAUCUCGCCCUCGCAGCAUGGCAUACUAUGAUACUAUCGCAAUAUUUUCUUCUAUUUAUUUUGUGUAUUUCAUCAACUAGUGCCACUAUAAUGUAAUCACGCUUUUUCAUUAUCUGUGCAAACAGGGUUAUUCAGCUGCAUUUUGGUGGAACUGCACAAAUGUACGUAUGGAACCGGCAUAUAUGUAGAGUGCGAGGUGUGCCAAGUAAAAAUUACCGACACCAACCAUGCUGCAUGCACGCAUUGGCAUCCACCACCACCAGUGGGAUGUGUGGCGCUCUCUGCGCACGAAUCUUUCUCGGCAGCAAAUCAUCUAACCGAAUACUAGUAGCUUAUAUUGGCAGUUUUCUAGGGAGUACUCUUUUCUGAAAGAAGCACCAAUAUAUUUUUCUUUAUUUGUACACUGUGUCACAACUUUGACCCAAAGGUCCAGAGCUAUUUUAGGGUGAUUGGCGUAGUACUCGGAGACUGAUUGUAAGCAUGAUUUUCAUUAGCUGUCACACUGAUUGUAAGCAUGAGCAGGUGGAAGAUUAGGUUAGUGUGAAGCUUACCUUAAACCCUACCGCCGCCGUUGAAACGAGGCGAGCGUCGAGGGAACCGUGGAGAACGGCGGGAAGCGACGUCGCGCCAUCCGGCCUCCUCUUGCGGUGGGAGAACGAAUACUCCUGUGGCUCCGGCUGGCUCUGCACCCUCACGAACGACACACCAUACUCGAUCGAUUCAUUAUCCUCUGGGUGCUCGACCUUCGACCUGUACACCCACCACCUCCGCCUGACUGUCGCCUCGGGCGAAUCUGUCUGCUCCAUCGCCCAGAGGAGAUACUCGAUGAACUCGGAGGACUGCGGCGUGACUGCCGCCGAGGAAUACAUGUACAUCGCCGCCCUCAUCGCCGCCAUCUCGCUCUUUCGCAUACAUUGCCACAUGGCCCGCACCGUCCUUGAAAUCUCCCACUCAUUGUCAAACCAACUAAGGAUCUCCUUCAACCUGGCUAACUUUGCCUGGUCGCCGCUGGCGAUCUACCUGAUUCGCUGCUGCAUCCUCUCCAUAGAUGUCCUUCUGAGUGGUCCGGUGCUAGCUUUGGAAGAUGGGAGGAGAGACGGUGGUCUUGCAAUAGAGAAGAGGGAGAGGUGAGACGGUGGUUUUGGAAUGGAGAUGAUGGAGAGGAGAGGAGGUGGUUUGGCAAUGGAGAAGAUCAGAAGAGGGAGAGGCGAGACGGUGGUUUUGGAAUGAAGAUGAUGGAGAGGAGAGGAGGUGGUUUUGCAAUGGAGAAGAGGGAGAGGAGCGUGCGGCAGCGAUUUAGGAUUGGACGAGAGGGCCGGCGCGCUGUGACUGGAUCAAAAUCAAAAUCAAUUUACCCUUCAAUUAAGAAAGCGACCCCACAUUAACUAGUCUCCCUUUUAUUCUGGGUCAUAAUUGACCAUGAUUUUCGCACAUAAAAUAUAUGUUAUACGUUGCAAAAAUAAUAUAAUUUGAAAGUACAUUCAGAUACGAACCAAACGAUACAAUUUUUGGUGACAUGCAUUCACAUUUUGCUUGUCAAAUACAGUACGUGGUCAAACUUUGACCCAAAAUACGCAAAACAACAAAAAAAUACUUCCAAGACCAGCGCCGCUCUUCCGCUCUUCUCCUCUUAAACCACCGCCGCUCCUCUCCUGUUCCAAUCUAAAUGCAGAGCCGCUCCUCUCCUCUUCCAUUUCAAAACCACCGCCCCUCCUCUCCUGUUCCAGUCCAAAACCAGCGUCGCUCCUCUCCCGUUCUAAUCCAAAACCAGCGCUCCUCCUCUCAUCUUCCAUUCAAAAACCACCGCCGGCGAGUGAAGGUGCUGUGGAGAAGUAGAUCGAUGGAGGACUACAACCGAUACGCGAGGAUCGCAGACAGCAACCCUGUGAAGCUAGCUAGGAUGUUGGAGAUACAGUCUUGGUUUGACAACAAGGACCAACUAGCGGCGACGGCGACAUCCAUGGCCAAAUAUCUGCAACAGAGCGAAAAGGCGGAGAUACUCCCGGAGGGAGUCGCGCCGGAGUACAUAGAGCUGCUCCUCUGGGCCAUGGAGCAAACAGAUUCACCGAAUCCGAUCGUGAGGGAGCGGUGGUGGGAGUAUCGAUCACAGAUGGAGCAUCCACCAGAGAUUGAAGGAUCGAGCAUCUACAGGGUGCCAUUUGUGAGGGUGUCCUGCCAGAGCGAGCCGGUGGAGUCUUCGUCGACCGAACUCAACUGCAAGAGGAGAAAAGCAGUUGGCCCGACGAUGCUUCCCCGUCAUCGUCUCCCUAGCCAUUCACAUCGUCUCACGGGGCGGCUGUCUGCCGCCGAGGAAUAGGAGGGGGCUGCCCCCUAGCCCAAUAGUCGGGCAGGUUGUGAAUUGUCAGGAGGAGCUUAGGGUUGUCAGUAUUUGCAGGUUGUGAAUUGUGUUUUGUGUUGUGUAUUUUGAGAGUACUUUCAGAUAUGAAUGUCUUUUGAAUUUCAGAUUUGUAGUAUUGAGCAUAUGAAGUAUUUUAUGAAUUCUAGAGACCUAUUUUUAGCACUUAAAAAAAUGUAGUUUCAUAGGAGUAUAAAAGUGCAGACAAUAUGAUUCUCAGAGAAGAAACUGCAAGUUUCAGUUUCAGAUAAGAAACUGCAAGUUCAGUUUCAGAUAAGAAACUGCAACUUUCAGAGGCAGAGCAUUUAUAUUAACACGGCCUUUUCAAACAGGGUUAACAUCAUGUUGGACGUUUUAUUCAUGGUCAAAAAUGGAACUACCAGCCAGUUAACAUCAUGCUGAUCAACAUUCAUGCAUAGCACAUCUUCAUAUGAUGCACAGUCAAAAUGCCCACACAAUGUCGAGUGUGCGAAACACAGAGAAAACGGGGGACGAAGUUUUGGCAAGUGUUGGAUGUGGUUUUGGGCUGCCCCGUCUAGGCUUUCAUUUUUAACAUGCGCAGCCCACGACCUCGGAUGGGAGGUCCAUAGGCCUGUUUGUAUUUUCUUAGGGCCGUCAUGUAUCGACCGGCCUAUGGACCUCCCAUCCGAGAUUUUAUUUUUGGCAGCCCAAUUUAUGUAUUUUUUGAAGAAAACGCAAAGGUCUGUUCUAUUUUUCUAUAUAAGAAUAGGAACGCCAGGUCCAACUUAUGUUUCCCUUCUAACUAUAUUAUAUAUAUUUAAAUUAUUUUAUAUUUUAUUAUAUAUUAUCUUUAUUGUCAUCAUAUAUUUAACAGAUACUUACAUAUGUAAGAAAACAAUAUCCCACAUCUUAUUAACUUAUAAAAAUAAUUUCUUAACAAAUAAAAUCCUGGAUUGUUUUGGCACGAAAAUCCUAGUGAUUGUGUACAAAAGCUUGGUAAGAUUUAAGGACGAAUGUAAUAAUAUCACUUAUUAUUUAAAUAUAUAUAUAACAAAAUGCUCAGACCCUUUUUAUUUUUUGAGAACAUUGCUGGCCCAACCCAACAUUAUAAUUAGAAUCAGCCCAGCAAAAUCGUGUAUUUCGAGAAAGUGCAAAUGGCCUGUAAUUUUUUAGGAAAUAAAAUAAAUGGGCCGCAUGGACGCUACAUUAUUUGUUCACCCAGCCCAGCUAAUGGCUGUAAUUCAAAAAAAGAGAUCAAAUUGACUUUAAAUUCUACCGCGCAAAAAAAAGACUGUAAAUUCUGAAAAAAUGGGUUGAAUACGUGCCACAUUUUUGGAGGCUGAAAUGUGGGCCAAUAGGUCAAAGCCAAUGCAAGUCGUUGUCAAUUUAGUCAACAAAUGAUUCUGACAUGUUAGCUGUUGGAUUUACAUCCAACGACCGGCAUCCAUCUUCAAUCUCUCGUCUUCUUCCUCCAACGCCGCCGGGACCAGCUCCCGCCUCCUGCUGCUAGCAGCUCUGCUUAGCACGCUUCGCUAUGAAGCGCUACUCCACCGUUGGCCAGGGCAUCCCUGAACCCCUCCACACCUCCUGUUCUUCUCCACCGACUGCCGAACCACACCGCACUAGAAUCAGUUAACCCUCGUACACCUCUCCGUCUGCGACUCUACUCCCGCGUCUUCCCAUCUCCGACUCGUUGCUGUCCGGGGCCUCGCCGUCGUCCACCACCUUGGAUGCGCUCGGCGCGGCGUGGUCAACGUGGUCAACGAACGACAUCAUCGGAAAUAGACUGUGCGUGAAGAGGCUGACAGCUGGGUCCACGGCCGCACACAAGGAAAUGCCUCCUUAUUACGCGCAAAAUAAUGAUUCCUCCACCUGACAUCUGGGACCCACCGGAAGGGCUCUGUAUUUCGCGAAACUAACAUGCCUCCCGCUGACAUGUCGGACCCACCAGCUAUCUUUGCACGCAAGGAAGUGCCUCCUUAUUACGCACAAAAAUAUGAAUACUCCCCCUGCCAGUUGGAACCCAGCAUAGUGGGAGGCUGACUUGUGGGCCUACCAAGUUGACGGGGACGGAGGGCUUUGUCAACUUAGUCAAUAUGAACGAUUCUACCUCCUGUUACCGUACGAUGUUCAUCCAACGGCCGUAGUGCUUCUUCAACCUCUGGUCUUCUUGCUCCAGCCGCCCAAACCAGCGCUGGUCGUGCCGCGUGCUCCUGCCUCCCGUGGCCGGCUGUGAUGCCGCGGAGGCCUCACCGCCCACUACUAAUCCCACCGCUGGCCAGGCCAUCCCUCUACUCACCCACACCCCCUGUUAUUCUACGGUGACAGCAGCCUCACACCGCAGCCGAACCAGUGAACCCUUGUAUUCCUCUUCGCGUGGGCAUCCACUGCUGCGUCUUCCCCGGCUCCGAGUCGUCCCCUUCCUAGUCCUCGCCGUCGUCCACCGUCGUGGUGCUCUCGGCGCGGCGUGGUCAACAUGGUCAAGGAACGACUUCCAUAGGACGUGGACUGUACGUGGAGAGGCUGAUAGCUGGGUCCACGGCCGCAGCAAGGAAGUGCCUCCUUAUUACGCGCAAAAUAAUGAUUCCUCCACCUGACAGCGGGGAUCCACCGGACGGGCCACCGUAUUUCACAAAAAAAACGUUGCCCCCUGACUGCUGGGACCCACCAGUUACAUCUUCGCACGCAAGGAAGUGCGUCUGGGCAAAAAAAAACGAUUCGCCCCCCUGACUGCUGGGACCCACCACCUACAUCUUCGCACGCAAGGAAGUGCCUGACAGUCGGGACCCACCUGGUCGAAGCGUACGUAGCGUUGUCAUUCUGGUCGCGAACGUGUACGUACAUAUAUACUGGUGGAAGUAGAGGCACGCACGUGUCGUAGUAGAGGCGCGUACGUGUCGUAGUAGAGGCGCGCACGUAGCAUGUACACGUACGUACAACGGCCAGGGUGCAAGAAAGAAAAUACGGCCACGUAUGUGUACAUACGGGCGGGGUCUCGAACGCCUACUGGCGCAUACGUACGGCCAGGGCUCGUGUACAUGGCUGGGUCGGAACGGAGAAACAGCGUCGUCGUCGUGUUCAUGGGGAGGCAACGGAAUGCGUCGUGUUCAUGGGGAGGCAACGGAAUGCGUCGUGUUCAUGGGGAGGCAACGGAAUGCGUUGUGUUCAUCGGGAGGCAACGGAACGCGUGGGAGCCAACCGGCUGGGUCGGAACGGAAUAUGUGGUCGUGUUCAUCGGCAGGGCUUGGACGGAACAGGCGAUGGAAACGAGGCCUGGCGUACCGCAAAACGGAGGAAACGGACCUCCUACAUUCGGAACGGGGUCCUGUUGAUCGGGAGGGGUGUGGCGUACCGCAAAACGGAGGAAACGGACCUCCUACGGUCGAAACGGGGGUCCUGUUGAUCUGGAGGGGUGUGGCGUACCGCAAAACGGACGAAACGGACCUCCUNNNNNNNNNNNNNNNNNNNNNNNNNNNNNNNNNNNNNNNNNNNNNNNNNNNNNNNNNNNNNNNNNNNNNNNNNNNNNNNNNNNNNNNNNNNNNNNNNNNNNNNNNNNNNNNNNNNNNNNNNNNNNNNNNNNNNNNNNNNNNNNNNNNNNNNNNNNNNNNNNNNNNNNNNNNNNNNNNNNNNNNNNNNNNNNNNNNNNNNNNNNNNNNNNNNNNNNNNNNNNNNNNNNNNNNNNNNNNNNNNNNNNNNNNNNNNNNNNNNNNNNNNNNNNNNNNNNNNNNNNNNNNNNNNNNNNNNNNNNNNNNNNNNNNNNNNNNNNNNNNNNNNNNNNNNNNNNNNNNNNNNNNNNNNNNNNNNNNNNNNNNNNNNNNNNNNNNNNNNNNNNNNNNNNNNNNNNNNNNNNNNNNNNNNNNNNNNNNNNNNNNNNNNNNNNNNNNNNNNNNNNNNNNNNNNNNNNNNNNNNNNNNNNNNNNNNNNNNNNNNNNNNNNNNNNNNNNNNNNNNNNNNNNNNNNNNNNNNNNNNNNNNNNNNNNNNNNNNNNNNNNNNNNNNNNNNNNNNNNNNNNNNNNNNNNNNNNNNNNNNNNNNNNNNNNNNNNNNNNNNNNNNNNNNNNNNNNNNNNNNNNNNNNNNNNNNNNNNNNNNNNNNNNNNNNNNNNNNNNNNNNNNNNNNNNNNNNNNNNNNNNNNNNNNNNNNNNNNNNNNNNNNNNNNNNNNNNNNNNNNNNNNNNNNNNNNGCAACGCUCACUGUUCAUCCAAUCGAUCGGCUUCAGUUAGCAGCAGUAGCGAAGGAAUCGCUCGAUCGGGUUCAGUUAACAGCCAUCGAUCGAUCGCUCGGGUUCAGUAACACGUAGCCUGCAGUGCAAUCGCUCGGGUUCAGUUAGAGCCCAACGCCUCGCUCGGGUUCAGUUAGAGCCAACGCCUCGCACACACGCGCGUACGUGUACGAGAGAAACGCGCAUCGCUCGGCCCCCGACCUCCCACCGUAACCGGGAACUCCCUGAAAUUUUCCUCCCCCUCGCUUCUACCACGGUUUUUUCCGUCAUGGACGGCCCAAAGAAUGUCAUGCGUCUGUGUCUCCGGCCCGCCCAGGACGAAAAGCCCAUUUUCUGUCAUGAUUUUUUUCAUAGAAGUAGGAGCCCACCACAUCUAUGAUGAUACCGGGUUUUGUCACAAUUGUCGUCAUAGAAGUGUCAUAUGUAUGACAGAAAAAAAUUUCGUUCGGCCCAAAAUGCCACGGAUGUUUCUUUUUUUUGUAGUGGGGACACUUGUCGUAGCAGGGUCACAUGUGUAUUCUUGUCUUUGCUGUGCACUAAGAUAUCAUCGAUGAACACGAGCACUCCAUGGCGCAGCAAGGGUGAUAGUACCGUGUGCAUCCCACCCUGAAAAGUAGCUGGCCCUCCCGUCAAGCCGUAUGACAGCACCUUGAACUCGAAGUGACCAUGAUGCGUUUUGAAGGCUGUUUUGUGGGCAUCUUCUGGUUUCAUUCGAAUCUGAUGAUAGCCGGAGCGCAAGUCGAGGGUAGUGAACCAGCAUGAGCCUGCCAGCUCGUCAAGAAGUUCCUCAAUCACUGGCAAGGGAAUCUAUUUUUGAUUGUGAUUGCGUUGAGGUGCCUGUAAUCAAUGCAAAAUCGCCAAGUCAGGUCCUUCUUCUGAACCAGUAGAACCGGUGAUGCAAACGGGCUGGAGCUUGGCUGAAUUAUUCCUUGGGCUAGCAUCUCAGUGACCUGCCGUUCCACCUCAUCUUUCUGGGCCGGACUAUGUCGAUAGGGUCGUAUGUUGACUGGUCGAGCUCCGGGCACCAAAGGAAUGGAAUGAUCAAAAGAGCGCUGUGGUGGCAGACCUUUGGGUUCCUCGAAAAGGGCUGCAUACUGUUCCAAGAGUUCAGCCACCUCCGGAGGAAUUGGAGGAUCAUUCGUGUCCUCUGCCACUAUACAUAAUUUUACCACUCUGGCCACCGCUGUUUGUUGCAGUAAUUCAUGUAGUUCAGCUCCCGAGAUCAUCUAACACUGGGUGAUAUCUGCUCAAGCUCCACAGAGUUGCACUUCUCGUCCCUCAUGCUGAAACGCCAUGGUCUUCUUCAGCCAGUGGACCUUCAUCGGGCUAUGGUGAGCCAGCCAGUCAAUCUCGAGAAUCACAUCAUAACUGCCCAGUGGAAGGACUCUGAGAUCGGUGGUGAAAUCGACCCCCUGCGAGUUCCACUCUCACGUUGGAAUCUCCUGGUCAGACUGCAGAAUACCACCAUUUGCCACCCGCACGGAUAGCGCACGCUGGGCGGGCUGAACUCCUUGAAGAUGAGUGGCUAGAGCAGCGCUCACAAAGCUGUGGGAUGAACCGGAGUCCACAAGCAUGAGGACCUCCUUGCCUUGCACCCAGCCAUGUAAGCGCAUGGUCGUUGGCGCUUCAGCGCCAUCUACUGCUGCUUGCGAGAGCACGCAACAGUCAGCUUCGCUUGGUGUUGAAUCUGUGGAUGGUGCUGAUUGUGCUGGCCCUUGCAACAUCUCGAUCAUCUCUUCCACUACAUGAAGUUGCACAGUUGGUGCGCAACGAUGCUCGCGGCUCCAGCGUUCGCCGCAAGUGAAUCAGAGCCCUUUGGCGCGACGGUAUGCCCGAAGAGUCGCCAGCUUGUCGUCUUGCGGUGGAGUUCGGGUAGUCUCCGGUGGCCGUGACUCUGAUGCAGUGCCCCCUUGCCGGGCGGUUGUUGUUGGUGGUGGUGGUAAGGGCAGGGCCAUGCGAGGGAUCGCCCGCCCCCCUUGCGAACUUGGCGGCAGCGCAGGAUGGUGCCUAUCAUCCCGACGAGCCUCUACCACUUCUUCCUGCAAACACGCGAGAUCCACAACAGUAUGCAAUGUUUGGGGUCUAUGUGAAACAACUGUAGAACGUAUAUCACGUUGCAAACCAUCCAUGAAUUGGGUGACAAAAAAUGCAGGAUCCCAAGAACUAUGAUGUGCUAACAAGUUAUGCAUCAACUGAGUGAAUUGCUCUGCGUAUUCAGUGACCGUGCCCGUCUGUCGCAAGCGAUUGAAUUGGCGCAGCAAAUUCUGAAACUCCUCCCGACCAAACUGUGCACAAAUAACAGAUGCAAACUCCCCCCACUCCUGGUAAUGCAAAUGAGCUUGCGACGACUGCAGCCAUGAUAGUGCGAUGUCGGUGAAAUACAUCGCCGCACAACUAACCCAUGUCUCCGCACUCAGAGUGCAUACCCGAAAGUACGCCUUGCAUUUGAGAUGCCAAGCACGCGGAUUGGAUCCAUCGAACAAUGGAAAAUCGAACCGCGACGGUGGUGCCAAUCUAAAGUACCCAUGAUCCCCAGUAAAUGACUGCUCGCCUUGGUGAUAGAAGUCGGACGUACCAGUGGCCGGAGGUAAUCGAGGGGUGCGGAUCUCCCCUGACGAUUUCCCCCGAAGAUCAGUGAGGAUGUCGUGGUCAUCGGGCCCGUGAUGUGACGCCCCCGAUUCAAUCAUACACUAAUCAUGCAUGCAAACGUGUACGAUCAAGAUCUGGGACUCACGGGAAGAUAUCACAACACAACUCUAAAAACAUAAAUAAGUCAUACAAGCAUCAUAAUACAAGCCAGGGGCCUCGAGGGCUCGAAUACAAGUGCUCGAUCAUAGACGAGUCAGCGGAAGCAACAAUAUCUGAGUACAGACGUAAGUUAAACAAGUUUGCCUUAAGAAGGCUAGCACAAACUGGGAUACAGAUCGAAAGAGGCGCAGGCCUCCUGCCUAGGAUCCUCCUAAACUACUCCUGGUCGUCGUCAGCGGCCUGCACGUAGUAGUAGGCACCUCUGGUGUAGUAGGAGUCGUCGUCGACGGUGGCGUCCGGCUCUUGGGCUCCAGCAUCUGGGUGCGACAACCAGGUAGAAUGGAAAGGGGGAAAAGAGGGAGAAAAGCAACCGUGAGUACUCAUCCAAAGUACUCGCAAGCAAGGAUCUACACUACAUAUGCAUGGGUAUAUGUGUAAAGAGGCAAUAUCGGUGUACUGAACUGCAGAAUGCCAGAAUAAGAGGGGGAUAGCUAGUCCUGUCGAAGACUACGCUUCAGGCCACCUCCAUCUUGCAGCAUGUAGAAGAGAGUAGAUGGUAAGUUCACCAAGUAGCAUCGCAUAGCAUAAACCUACCCGGCGAUCCCCUCCUUGUUGCCCUGCUAGAGAGCGAUCACCGGGUUAUAUCUGGCACUUGGAAGGGUGUGUUUUAUUAAGUAUCCAGUUUUAGUUGUCAUAAGGUCAAGGUACAACUCCAAGUUGUCCUGUUACCGAAGAUCACGGCUAUUCGAAUAGAUAAACUUCCCUGCAGGGGUGCACCACAUAACCCAACACGCUCGAUCCCCUUUGGCCGGACACACUUUCCUGGGUCAUGCCCGGCCUCGGAAGAUCAACACGUCGCAGCCCCACCUAGGCACAACAGAGAGGUCAGCACGCCGGUCUAAAUCCUAUGGCGCAGGGGUCUGGGCCCAUCGCCCAUUGCACACCUGCACGUUGCGUACGCGGCCGGAAGCAGACCUAGCCUAGCAGGCGUUCCAGUCCAAUCCGGCGCGCGCCGCUCAGUCACUGACGUCACGAAGGCUUCGGCUGAUACCACGACGUCGAGUGCCCAUAACUGUUCCCGCGUAGUUGGUUAGUGCGUAUAGGCCAGUGGCCAGACUCAGAUCAAAUACCAAGAUCUCGUUAAGCGUGUUAAUUGAAGUAUCCGCGAACGCCGAGCAGGGCCAGGCCCACCUCUCUCAUAGGUGGUCUCAACCUGCCCUGUUGCUCCGCCAAAGUAACAGUAGGGGGCCGUCGGGAACCCAGGCCCACCUCUACCGGGAUGGAGCCACUUGUCCUUUCAGCCCCCUCUCCAAACAGUAUCAUAAGUAACGUAACAGUAUAAAGUAUAUAGCAUAUGCCCGUGAUCACCUCCCGAAGUGAUCACGGCCCAUUAGUAUAGCAUGGCAGACGGACAAGAGUGUAAGGCCACUGAUGGAACACUAGCAUCCUAUACUAAGCAUUAGGAUAGCAGGUAAAGGUAUCAACAUUUGUAGCAACAAUAACAGGCUAUGCAUCAGAAUAGGAUUAACCGAAAGCAGUAACAUGCUACACUACUCUAAUGCAAGCAGUAGAGAGAAGGAAUAGGCGAUAUCGGGUGAUCAAGGGGGGGCUUGCCUGGAAGCUCAGCCGAGAAGGAGGGGUCGUCAACACCGUAGUCGUACUGGGUAGCAGCGGCGUCGGUCUCGGGGUCUACCGGAGAAGAAGAGGGGGGAGAAACAGUAAAUACAGAUUCAAACAAAGCAUCACACAAAAUAUAACAAGCCAAUACGCGGUGCCAGGGGUAAUCUAACGCGGGGAUAGGUGAUACCGGCGAAGGGGGAAAACAUCCGAAAAAGUAUCACCGGUGUGUCGCGUUUUCGGACAGAUGAACGGAGGGGGAAAGUUGCGUGUUUGCUAUGCUAGGGAUGUGGCGCGGACGAACGGGCUGCGUAUCCGGAUUCGUCUCAUCGUUCUGAGCAACUUUCAUGUAUAAAGUAUUUUCAUCCGAGUUACAGAUUAUUUUAUAUUAAUUUCUAAAGUUUUAAUUAAAUUUUCGGAUUAACGGGAUUGAUUUAAUUCUAAAAUACGUUUACUGCAUCAGCAUGACGUCUGUGGUCAACUUUGACCAUUGACUGGGUCAUCUGACGUGUAGGGUCCGUUUGUCAUUGUCACAGGUUAACUAAACAUGGUUAAUUAGUUUAAGUAAGUGAUUAGGUUAAUUAAACCGAGUUAGUUAAGUUAAUUAAUUUAGUUGAUUAAAUAUUUUUUAAUCUAUUAUUUUUUUAUGUUUAUUUUUAUUUGGCCAGGGAGCUAGGCCCCAGCAGUCAGUGGCCCAGAGGCCAAAGCGGGCGUGGGCUGUCGGGCGUGGGCUGUCGGGCGCGUCCGCAGCCCGCCCGGUAGCGAGGCGAGGCCGGAGCAGGGCCGAGCAGGCGCGGCUGGCGCGGGUGUGGCUGGACCGUGGUCGGCGGCAGGCGGCGGGGUAAGGCCACGACAGCAGUCGGCGGCUGUAGGCGAGUGCAAGGGCGGGGUAGAAGGAGCCGGGCGCGGGCGGCGGCCGGUGACGUAGGGGGAAGCACUACAAAAAAAAGACACAUCCGUGACAUUUUGGGCCGAACGAUCUUUUUUUCUGUCAUACAUAUGACACUUCUAUGACGAUAAUUGUGACAAAACCCGGUAUCAUCAUAGAUGUGGUGGGCUCCUACUUCUAUGACAAAAAAUCAUGACAGAAAAUGGGCUUUUCGUCCUGGGCGGGCCGGAGACGCAGCUGCAUGACAUUCUUUGGGCCGUCCAUGACGGAAAAAACCGUGGUAGAAGCGAGGGCGAGGAAAAUUUCGGGGAGUUCCCGGUUAAGGUGGGAGGUCAGGGGCCGAGCGAUGCGCGUUCCUCUCGUACACGUACGCGCGUGUGUACGAGGCGUUGGCUCUAACUGAACUCGAGCGAGGCGUUGGGCUCUAACUGAACCCGAGCGAUUGCACUGCAGGCUACACGUUACUGAACCCGAGCGAUCGAUCGAUGGCUGUUAACUGAACCCGAUCGAGCGAUUCCUUCACUACUGCUGCUAACUGAAGCCGAUCGAUGCUGCCUUUGGGAUNNNNNNNNNNNNNNNNNNNNNNNNNNNNNNNNNNNNNNNNNNNNNNNNNNNNNNNNNNNNNNNNNNNNNNNNNNNNNNNNNNNNNNNNNNNNNNNNNNNNNNNNNNNNNNNNNNNNNNNNNNNNNNNNNNNNNNNNNNNNNNNNNNNNNNNNNNNNNNNNNNNNNNNNNNNNNNNNNNNNNNNNNNNNNNNNNNNNNNNNNNNNNNNNNNNNNNNNNNNNNNNNNNNNNNNNNNNNNNNNNNNNNNNNNNNNNNNNNNNNNNNNNNNNNNNNNNNNNNNNNNNNNNNNNNNNNNNNNNNNNNNNNNNNNNNNNNNNNNNNNNNNNNNNNNNNNNNNNNNNNNNNNNNNNNNNNNNNNNNNNNNNNNNNNNNNNNNNNNNNNNNNNNNNNNNNNNNNNNNNNNNNNNNNNNAACAGGACCCCCGUUUCGAUCGUAGGAGGUCCGUUUCGUCCGUUUUGCGGCACGCCACACCCCUCCCGAUCAACAGGACCCCCGUUUCGACCGUAGGAGGUCCGUUUCGUCCGUUUUGCGGUACGCCACACCCCUCCCGAUCAACAGGACCCCCGUUUCGACCGUAGGAGGUCCGUUUCCUCCGUUUUGCGGUACGCCACACCCCUCCCGAUCAACAGGACCCCGUUCCGAACGUAGAAGGUNNNNNNNNNNNNNNNNNNNNNNNNNNNNNNNNNNNNNNNNNNNNNNNNNNNNNNNNNNNNNNNNNNNNNNNNNNNNNNNNNNNNNNNNNNNNNNNNNNNNNNNNNNNNNNNNNNNNNNNNNNNNNNNNNNNNNNNNNNNNNNNNNNNNNNNNNNNNNNNNNNNNNNNNNNNNNNNNNNNNNNNNNNNNNNNNNNNNNNNNNNNNNNNNNNNNNNNNNNNNNNNNNNNNNNNNNNNNNNNNNNNNNNNNNNNNNNNNNNNNNNNNNNNNNNNNNNNNNNNNNNNNNNNNNNNNNNNNNNNNNNNNNNNNNNNNNNNNNNNNNNNNNNNNNNNNNNNNNCGUAGGAGGUCCGUUUCCUCCGUUUUGCGGUACGUCACACCCCUCCCCAUGAACACGACGCAUUCCGUUGCCUCCCCAUGAACACGACGCAUUCUGUUGCCUCCCCAUGAACACGACGACGACGUUGUUUCUCUGUACCGACCCAGCCAUGUACACGAGCCCUGGCCGUACGUAUGCGCAAGUAGGCAUUCGAGACCCCGCCCGUAUGUACACAUACGUGGCCGUAUUUUCUUUCUUGCACCCUGGCCGUUGUACAUAUGUGUACAUGCUACGUGUGCGCCUCUACUAUGACACGUGCGCGCCUAUACAUCCACCAGUAUAUAUGUACGUACACGUUCGCCACCAGAAUGACAAUGCUAUGUACGCUUCGACCAGGUGGGUCCCGACUGUCAGGCACUUCCUUGCCUGCAAAGAUGUAGCUGGUGGGUCCAAGCAGUCAGGGGGCGAAUCUUUUUUUUUUGCCCGGACGCACUUCCUUGCGUGCGAAGAUGUAGCUGGUGGGUCCCAGCAGUCAGGGGCAAACGUUUUUUUCGCGAAAUACGGUGGCCCGUCCGGUGGGUCCCCGCUGUCAGGUGGAGGAAUAAUUAUUUUGCACGUAAUAAGGAGGCACUUCCUUGCUGCGGCCGUGGACCCAGCUGUCAGCCUCUCCACGUACAGUCCACGUCCGAUGGAAGCCGUUCCUUGACCACGUUGACCACGCCGCGCCGAGAGCACCAGGGCGGUGGACGACGGCGAGGCCUAGGAAGGGGACGACGCGGAGCCGGGGGAGACGCGGCAGUGGAUGCCCACGUGUAGAGGAGUACGAGGGUUCACUGGUUCGCUGCGGUGUGAGGCUGCCGUCGCCGCAGAAUAACAAGGGGUGUGGGUGAGUAGAGGGAUGGCCUGGACGGCGGUGGGAGUAGUAGGGGCGCUGAGGCCUCCGCCGCAUCGCAGACGGCCACGGAAGGCAGGAGCACGAGGCACGACCGGCGCUGGUUUGGGCGGCUGGAGCAAGAACACCAGAGGUUGAAGAAGCACUACGGCCCUUGAAUGGACAUCGUACGGUCACUGGAGCUAGAAUCGUGCAUAUUGACUAAGUUGACAAAGCCCUCCGUCCCCGUCAACUUAGUAGGCCCACAAGUCAGCUUGCCACUAUACUGGGUCCCAGCUAACAGGGGGAGUAUUCAUUUUUUUUGUGUGUAAUAAGGAGGCACUUCCUUGCGUGCGAAGAUAUAGCUGGUGGGUCCGAGCUGUCAGCGGCGGUAACGUUUUUUUCGCGAAAUACAGAGGCCCUUUCGGUGGGUCCCUCCAGAUGCAUAUCGGUCGUUGACCACGUUGACCAGGCCGCUCCGAGAGCACUAGGGCGGUGGACGACGGCGAGGCCUAGGAAGGGAACGGCACGGAGGCAGGGAAGACUCGGCAGUUGUUUCCCACGCGGAGGGGAGUAUGACUGUACGAGGGUUUACUGGUUCGUCUGCCGUCGGCGGAGAAUAACAGCAGGUGUGGGUGAGUAGAGGGAUGGCUAGGCCAGCGAUGGGAGUACGGUGGGGCGGUGAGGCCUGCGCGGCAGCAGAGCCGGCCGCGGGGAGGAGGGAGCAGGCAGUCCCGCCGGCGCUUGUUUGAGCGACUAGAGCAGGAAGAGCAGAGAUUGAAGAAGCACGAUGGCUGUUGGAUGGCCAUCCAACAGUCACUGCUUGUGCGUCAACCUUUUUUUAGGAAAGCCUCAAAUCUGUGGAAAACAACAUACAACCCAUCUACCAUUAUUUCUAAUAAUUUACAGCCCAUUUGCUAAUUAUUAAGGUUUUUUGGAGCCCAUAUUCUUUUUGUUAGCAUUACAGCCCAUAUUGUGGCCACGGUUAAAAAAUUAUACGAAAUUUUGCAUAUUUCGGUGCGGUCCGAACUGUUUUUAAUCCCAAAAUUUCGACUCACAUUCAAACUGAUUUUAAAAAUAAAUGUAUAUCAAUAUAAAAUCCAAAAAUUCUCCACGCAUAAAAAUUAAUGUAAUUUAAAAUCUCGAAAUGAAAAAAAGAUAUUUGAAACUAAUUGCCGGUUUGAUGUGUUUUAAAAAUGUACAGCCCAUUUCUCAUUACUGAUGGGCCAUUUUCUCGGCCAGCCGAAUGAAAGCUCUCCUCGUCUUGAAAGAUUUGCAGCCCAACAGGCCUGACAAAGCGACUUACUUGGCAAAUCACAAAAAAUUGGGCUGUGGCCGUGGACCCACCUAUCAGCCUCUCCACGUUCAGUACUCUUCCGAUGGAAGUCGUUCCUGGACCACAUUGACCACGCCGCGCGGAGAGCACCACGGCGGUGGAUGACGGCGAGACCUAGGAAGGGGACGACGCGAAGCCGGGGAAGACGCGGCAGUGGAAGCCCGCGCGGAGAGGAGUACGAGGGUUCACUGGUUCAGCUGCGGUGUGAGGCUGCCGUCGCCGCUGGGCCUGGCCAGCGGUGGGAAUAGUAGGGGGCGGUGAGGCCUCCGCGGCAGCACAGCCGGCCACGGGAGGCAGGAGCAUGCGGCACGACCGGCGCUGCUUUGGGCGGCUGGAGCAAGAAGACCAGAGGUUGAAGAAGCACUACGGCCGUUGGAUAGACAUCGUACGGUCACUGGAGCUAGAAUCGUUCAUAUUGACUAAGUUGAUAAAGCCCUUCGUCCCCGUCAACUUAGUAGGCCCAAAAGUCAGCCUCCCACCAAGGUGGGUCCCAGCUAGCCGGGGGAGUAUUCAUUUUUUUGUGCGUAAUAAGGAGGCACUUCCGGUGGGUCCGAGCUGACAGCGGUGCGAACGUUUUUUUCGCGAAAUACGGUGGCCCGACAGGUGGGUCCCAGCAGUCAGGGGGAAAAUGUUUUUUUCGCAAAAUACGGUGGCCCGUCCAGUGGGUCCCUGCUGUCAGUUGGAGGAAUCAUUAUUUUCCGCGUAAUAAGGAGGCACUUACUUGCUGCGGCCGUGGACCCCGCUGAGACUCUCCACGUACAAUAUACUUCCGAUGGAAGUCGUUCCUUAACCACGUUGACCUCGCCGCGUUCCGUUGCAUGCAUGAAUCCAUGGGCGUGGUGCGUCCCCACUGUCAGCCUCUCACGUACAGUCAUCUUCCGAUGACUCUCGGUUGUUGACCACGUUGACCACACCGUGCCGAGCGCACCCAGACUGGAACGACCGGGAGAUGGGGAAGACGGGGCAGUGGAGUCGCAGAUGGAGAGGAGUGGGAAACUUCACUGCUUCGGGUGCGCGGCAGCACAGCCGCGAUGCCGCCCACGGGAGACAGGAGCAAGAACAGAGAUUGAAGAAGGAGCACGGCUGUUGGAUUAACAUCCAACGGUCCAGCUACUAGAAUCAUUUGUUGAUUAAGUUGACAAAGCCGUGCGUACACGUCCACUUAGUAGGCCCCACAAGUCAGUCACCAAAUCUGACGGGUCCCAGCUGUCAACGGGAUGAAUAAUUUUUUUCGCAAAACAAGGAGGCACUUCCUUCCGUGCGAAGAUACAGCCGGUGGGUCCCAGCUGUCAGGUGGAGAAAUAUUUUUUUUCGAAAAACAAGGAGGUCCCUCCUGUAGCUGGUUCGAAUCCAAACCUAGACUAUGACUAUAUAUGGUGCUAUGCUACUGUGCAAGUAAUGAAACUGACAUAUCCAACGUUCGCUUCUCCUCUUCUCUACUUACUCUGCCUAGCAUCAGAAGCUCUGGCCGCAGCAACCAUGUCCACUGGCUGCUCGUCCACCUGCUCUUCAGCACGCAACAACCAGAUAUGCGCCAAGUCGCCACCCGUACCAUCGCCUGUGGGUCUCCUCACACCCCCGCCGGCACGCGCACCGCAGCCGAUUGCUCAUCGCAACCCGCUGCCGUUGGUGUGGUGCCACUGCUGCAAAUCACGCAGAGUCAUCCGUCGCGUCUCAACCACAAUCCGCAACCCUGGCCGAGUCUUCUACAAAUGCCCGAAUCAUGGGGUAAUAAUAUGUUUAAGUGUUGUUCUGCUGCUUUCAGUUGCUGAUUUUUUUAAUAGUUUGGUUGAUGAUCUUCCAAUUUGAUUCGUGCAGAAAAGGGAAGAUUCGUGUGAUUUGUAUUUCUGGGAAGUUGCUGAUGUGGAGGAAUGCAACUAUGCUGAUUAUUUGGUUAGCCGAGGAAUCCCAAUACCAGCAGGUUGGGGUGUUGGACAAGUAACUGAAGGAACGGCAGAAGAGGAAGAUGCAGAGCAGAAGGUUAAAGAUGUAGUUCCUCUGAUCAUGGCCAAGCAACAGCUGCUGAACGGCCUUGACAGCAAUGAGGAGAUGAAAGAGCUUGUGAAGAUAAUGGGAAAAAUCGAUGUGCUCUGUAGGAUGAUUGUCUCUUUAUUUGCAGUGUAUGUAGCACUCGUGAUGUAUUCAGUGGCUACACGAGCACUUUGCUGAAACUAGUAAUGAAUGAAACCUGUGUAGCAGGCUGGGCAUAGUGUUGUGAACAUCUAAUGAUUUCUAUUAACGGAAAUCAGGGGGUAUCCCCUUUUGCUCAUAUAAAUAAAUAAAUAGCAGAGGCCCUGUCGGGUCAGCUUUGUUCUCAUUCGAAGACGUCGAGCAAAUUGCAGUCCAACAGCAAACUAUGUCAUCAAAUUCAAGUUUCACAGCCAAAUAUGAGUACAACUAAACAACAAUGUCAUCAUGUUUUAGUUGUCAUACAAUCACCAAACACAAAUCAGCAUACAUAACAAGUGAUGUUCUCACAGCAAAAUACUAAACAACAUGUUCAUCAGGUUUCAGUUGUCAUAGCAAACACAAUUUCACAUAGUAGAUAAAAAAACGUCUUCUGACAGGCAAAUACGACAAAAGCAAUGUAAUCAUCAUCCACAGCAGCAGCGUCAACAUCUUCGCCAUGUGUAUUAGUCUGAAUCGUAAUUCCCCAUGGUGUCAUCUUCUUCUUCGUCCUCAACGUCCUCGAACGUUGGCUUCUUCUUGAUCAACUCUUGUAUGUCCACAGCACGACAGGCAAUCUUUUCGCCGGCGUCAUUGACGUGAUGGUUCUCAAAGAUAUUAGGAACAUUUGUGUUAUCUUGUACAUCAGGAGCAGUGUAAGAAUCAUCUUGUUGUGCAACUUCAUUAAACAAAUUCCUCUGCUCAAACCUUUGCAAUACUCUCCAGUCAUCGCUACGUGCAAAUGUGUCUUCCAAGAAAAAUAUCUGAGUUGCUUGAUUUGCCAAAAUAAAAGGCUCGUUGGUCUGGUACGCCACCUUGACAUUGAUGGAUUUGAAAUAAUCAUCAGCUCUGGGUUUUGCGAUCCUGGAAAACAGGUUAUACCAACGACAGCACAACAGAACCACACAUCGAUGAUCCUCGAAACUGGAGAUAGACUGCAACUGAACAAUGUUUGUUAUGUUAGCAUACAUUUCAGUUGUCUCCUUGUCAUACGUAUCCGUGCUCAUGAUGGCACUGUUUUGUGUCUUCCUGCCUUCGUCUCGUGCAAGGGUGUUGUAGCGCACAUCUCCAACAACGCAAGAUUCAUAAUGUCUUAACCGAGUAUCAGGACCCAUUGCUAGUGAGUAAAGGGCAUCAUCAACUGCCUGCCCAUCCUCCCGCAUCUUCUUAACCUAUGGUUAGAAAAUAGACAAGCUGAUCAUCUUAUGUACUCAAUAUAUUAAAAAAACUGACAGUGCACUUCAAAAGCUUACAUGGUUCUUGAACCAUUUCGCAAAUCCUACCAUAACGAGUUUGUCAAUGUUUCUUGGAUUUUGCGGCAGUAACUCCUCUUUGUAGAUGCUGCACAACAUAGUGAUCGCGUCAAACAUCUAAAUAUAUAAGAAUGUGCUGCAAGUUUAGUAGAUUACGAUGUAUAAGCUGCAGUACUGCACUUACUUGAUAUAAGGUAGUAUCUCAGGAUAGUUAUUCAACACAUACCAAACCAUUUUGUCCAAAUCUUUAGGUUUGUCCUCUUGUCGACUCUUCCCUAUAACUCGAACAGAAUAAUCGAAAACAUUGAGCCCGGGAUUGUCUUCACCCACCUCUUUACUAAGCUGAUCAGCUGUUUCAAUGUAUUUUGAGCAGAAUGUCAACGCUUCUGUAGCAAUGUAGGCCUCCACAAUGGAACCCUCGGGUCUAGCUCUGUUCCUAACAUAGCCCUUGAAAGUGCCUAGCCGCCUUUCAAUAGGGUACAUCCAGCCAUACUGUACUAGACCUCUAAGUAGUGCCUCAUCAGGUAGAUGAACAGCCAAAUGCACCAUCACAUCAAAGAAGGCUGGAGGAUAUAUCUUCUCAAGGUCGCAUAGGAUAGUUGGUAUCUUGUCUCUAAGACGCUCCAAAGCAUCUAUCCUGAUAUUCCUACUGCAGAGUUCCCUGAAGAAUUGUCCCAACUCUGCAACUGCUCUGUAUAAGUCAGGGCGGCCCAAUCCUCUAAGGAUAACAGGUAAAACCCUUUGAAGUAGGACGUGGCAGUCAUGAGUUUUCAACCCUUGUACCUUGUUUCCAUCUGCACUGACUCUCCUUUCAGGGUUGGAAGCAAAUCCAUGUGGGAAUCUCACACGUGACAGGACCUCGCAGAAUUCUUUUCUUUUUACCUUGUCCAAGACGUACACAGCUGGUGCCAUAUCCCGUGGUUUACCUUCAUCUUGCACCUGCAAAUCCUUUCUGAUACCCAGGUGUGUCAAAUCAAUCCUAGAUUUUAAGGUAUCUUUCGUCUUGCCUUCAAUAUUAAGAAGUGUGCCGAUAAUGCUGUCACAUAUAUUUUUCUCGAUGUGCAUCACAUCAAGAUUAUGCCGCAGAUCCAAAUCUUUCCAAUUCUCCAAGUCCCACAAAGUGGACCUGCGGGUAAACAAUAAUCUCUCUUCCACCCUGCCACACUUCCUUUUCCCGCUACCAUUCCCAGGAUGGUUUCCUGGUGUAAUAUGCCUGACCUUCUCUAAUUCCACUUGCAACUCAUCGGUGGUGAGCCUCUUUGGCGCAUCACGGUUUUCAUGCUUUGCAUUGAACACAUGUCUUCAGUAUUUUCUAGGAUGCGGCUUGUCCUUGGCAAGGAAACGGCGGUGUCCAAUGUAACAGAUCUUGCUAAGUAUUGCGUAUGACAGCGGAUUCCUGUCACAGCGAACACAUGCAUUGUAACCAUGUGUCGUUCGCCCUGACAUAGUGCCCAAAGCCGGAUAAUCAUGGAUGCACGCAGAAAGGAAUUAGCUGGUGGGCUGCUAUAUAGGUCUCGAGUGAGAACACCCUUCCAUAGCUGUUGAAGUUCCUCCACAAGAGACUUCAUGAACAAAUCAAAAUCCUUUCCAGGACUUUUUGGACCUGGGAUGAGUAAGGCCAUCAUGUAGUUUGAUUCUUUGGUGCAGACAUUUGGAGGCAUGUUGUAGGGAUAACAAGCACUGGCCACAUGCUAUAUGUGGCGCUCUGGUGGCCAAAUGGGUUAAAUCCAUCUGAAGCUAAGCCAAGUCUAAUGUGUCUCGGGUCAGCAACAAACUCUUUGUGUUUAUCAUUGAUGCUUUUCCACUCACUACCAUGAGAUGGAUGGCUCAUUACAUUCUGAUCUCUGUACUCCUGGUUCCUAGAAUGCCACAGUACAUCCUCUCUUGUUUCAGCAUCAUGAAACAACCUCUGCAAUCUUGGUAUAAUUGGAAAAUGUCUCAGAACAUUAUGAGGAAUCCUCUUCACAGCAUCGCCAUCUUUCCAUCUUGAUGAUUUGCAUUUCGGGCAUUCACUUAAGUUGGCAUAAUCCUUCCGGAACAGAACACAAUUAUUCUUACAAACAUGGAUCAUAUCAUAUCCAAUUCCAACAGCACGAAGGAAAUUCUUCAUUUUACUGUAGGAAUGUGGCAGCUCAGACGCAUCUGGGAAAGAUUCACGGAAAGCAGCCAACAUCACAUCGAAUGAUUUGUGGGUCAUCCGCUAAGAUGUCUUCACCUGAAGAAAGUUGACCAUAGCUGAGAAUACUAACAACUUAUUUCCUGGGGUGACAGCAACGUUGCAUUGUUCCAACAUGCGGGCCCACUGUUUUUCUUCUGCAGGUGAAAGUUCAUGGAAUGCACGAGCAUUUCGUAGCAUUAUUUCAAUAUUGGUCAAACUCACUGGCUCCGCCACCACCACCUCCUCCUCCUCUUCCACCUGAGCAUCAGGCAGAUCAAGAUGGUGAUCUGCUGCUUCAACGUAAUCAAUAACAUUGACGUUCACAGCUUCACCAUGAUGAACCCACCUAGUAUAUGUGACCGACAUCCCAUACAAGUGUAGAUGAUUUUGCACAGUUGACUGGGGUCUUGUAAUUGUAUUCAUACAACUACUACACGGGCAGAGCACAUCUGCUUUCGGACCACCGUACACAGCUCUGAUAAAGUUCAUGAAGUUUUCAACCCCCUCGACAUAUGCAACGGAGAAUCUUCGAGCAGAAGUUAUCCAAGUCCUGUCCAUCUGUUAGACAUACAAAUUAGUUCUUCUACUAGAUAUUACAGGAAAAACAUAUAUGCUUUUUUAUGAAGUCCAGAAAAAAAUUCCUAGGUCGAUGUCUAAAGCUAUGGCAAGAUAUUUGGACGAGCAGAUCUAAGUAACGAAAUAUAUGUAAAGCUAAUUCAGCAAACAGAUUUGAGUGCCAAAUUAUGGCAGGCUGUUUCAGCAGUCAAUGAGGCCGAGCACACAGCCAUCGAACUAUCGAAAGCCAUCGCAGCAACAAAGAUCGAGUAUAAAACGGUGUAGAGCUAUUUCACCUAACAGAUUGGCUACUAGACCAUGGCAAUCUACGUCACAUAAAUAUAUGGCAGGAUAUUUUAGCAACUAAUCGGCCUUGGCAUGCCAUCUCAACUACGUCACAAUAAAUAUAUGGUUUUGCUUGAUACGGAAAAACCGCUACACGAGCUCGGCCAUGGCGUCGUUGGGCUCGGGCGCGUGCGGGAAAGAAGGAAGCGGGUGAGGUCGAUCUAGACGCGAGCCAGAGAGCGACGAGGGAGAGAGGGUGAGGGGAAAUAUGUGCGCAGCAAGGGGGUGGGGCUGACGAGGCCGAGAGGGGACCGUGGCGCCCUUAUCCUCGUCGGGGCGUCGCCGGUCCGGCGGGGACGGCGCCUGUAGCGACCCAGGGCAGAGGAAAAGGGAGGGGGAGGUGUCUGGUGCGAGGAGUGGGCUGGAUGGGGUGGACCGAGGCUGGCUGGGCCGCUUGGCCAUCUAGGCCAAGGCCUAGUGGGGUGGGGGUCUGCCUUUUGUUUGUUUUGUUUUAUUUUUAUCCUUUUAUUUAUUUUCUUUUCUGUUUUAUUUUAACUUCCAAUUUAUUUGAACUCUAUUAAGAUAAAUAAUUAGAGCCUAAAUUGGUGUUGUAAAUUAAGCCUCUGCCAUAAAAAGCUUGACUUCCAAAUAAAAUAGUUUAGGAUUUUAUAAAAUACAAAAGUCAUUUAUUUAAUUGUUUUAGCCACCGUGUUAAUUACUUUUGAGCAUUUAAACAUGUUUCAUGUAUGUGGUUUCUACACCAUUAUUACUCAUGAAUUAUUUGACACGUUUAGAGCAUUUUAGUUUUAAUGUUUGGAAACUUUUAUUGUUUGACUCAAAUUCAAAUUUGAAUUUGAAUCGGUUUUGAACUAAAGCGAGAUUAACAACAGUAACCAUGGUGACGUGGCAUCAUUAACGUGGGAUUACUGUAGCUUAAUUAUCCGGGCGUCACACGUGAGUGGUGUCACCAUGAGUUGAGUUGUCGACGGCGCGCGGGUGGAGCGCGUCGGCCGUCGGUGGCGUAAAUCGGGGCCGCGACCCGUCCGCGAGGUGAGGAAGUAACGGUGGCAGCUCGCUGAGCCGCAGUGGAGGGGGUGGUGGAGCGGUCGUCGUGGCCUUGUCGAUCUGAGUCCGUAAGUCACCCACCUCCGAUCGGAUCUCCUCCACAGACUGCUCGAUCUAGGGACGCCAUCCUUGUAGCUCGUGGACGACGGGGUGGAUAUCUUUGAUUUUGGCUGUGAGGGCCGCGAUUGCCGCGGUCAGGUCCGCGGUCGCCUUGGUGUGCUCCUCCAUCGUCGUGGCCUUGCAUCUUCUUGUCUGGAUGAUGGAUGGAAAUCGCCCCGCUAGAUUGGGGAGGGUGGAGAAAAAAAAACUGGAUGGAUCUAGUGGCUCUGAGUACCAAUUGUUAUGGCCCCGCUAUCUCUUCACUCGGUUACACCAAAGGAUACAGGAUUUUGAGUAGCAGAACUAGGGUUCUAGAGGAAGGAAUGGGGAUAAGGGAAGAAGCCGCCGCCGUCCAGUGUCUAGCUUCUCCACACCCCGCACCCAGCGAGAGGGCGCAGUACUUAACCCUACUUGCCGGUGUUCCAUUCUGGGCCUGUGUAGCGCUUGUUGGGCUGGGCCUGGCGACGUGGUCGUUCCAGUCCAGUCACAGGGGUCGUGGCAGUGUCGCCCUGGUCUUCUGCUGAUGGGGCCUGAGGGCCAGGGACCGUAACAGCAGGCAUGCAUGCACGCACGUUGAUAGAUGAACGAGCGCAUGUGCACACCGGUGCACCCACCGAACAUGCAAAGGAGUGCAUAUCUGUCUCUUUCAUAACUUUCUUUCACAAAUAAAAUUUCAGAUUUUUCGGAUAUCCUCAAAAUCCGGAUUGUGUGAAAUCAUGUUAUACCUUUCCGAAAUUGACAAGCCUCCAUCGGCAUUUGGCAUGGGUUACAUCCCGUCUACCCUGCCCCUGCCUUGUCAAUGAUCUUGCCGGCCUACGCGUUCUGCGCGAGUGUCACGCCAGCUGCAUCCUAGCGCACUUUGAUGCGCAGGUAGUAAGAUUGCAACCCAAGAUCACUCAUCUGAAACGUGGCCUUCACCGCUUCACCGGCGUCAGCUUGAUCACCAGAUCAUCCACAUACACCCCAGAAAGAGGAUAGCUUUUAUUUUUUUAGGAUUCAAAAAAGAAAACCUUGUGUGAUCCGUGAAGAGGAAAACAAGGUGGAUGGGCUCUGCUGGCCCAUCUAUAUAUCUAUCUAUCUACAUGGUGUUUCCUUUCCUCCCACCAAAAAAACUUGUCGAACCGUCUCCCGUCCCUGUUCUUCUUGCUUCAACUCCUCCCAAGUUAAUUGCACAAAAGUACCACAAUUGGGGCAUUACAUGCAGAUUGGUACCACGAUUCUUAAUUUUUGCGUAUUAGUACCGACAUUGUUUCAGACUUUUGCAAAUAAGGCUAAAACUCUAUUUUAUACGUAUUGACGGUGUAUCUGACCAACGGGGCCCGCCCGUCAGGUGCCGACGUGGCAUAUUUUUUGCAGAAAACCCCCUUACGUUGUAUGUAAUCACAAAAUUGUCCAAAUUUUUUGCGGGAAAAAGGCUUUUUUUUGUUCGCAAUUUCCACCACCGAAUCUGGACUGGUUUGAAAUUUUCCGCCACUAAAGUGAAAGAAAAAUCAGGCGCCGGCCGGGAUCGAUCCUGCAACGUGCAGUCCACAGGCGCCACGCGCUAACCAAAACGCCACAGCGCAGCUCACGUUCCAAUGCAGGCGUUACAUUUCUUAUACUAUGGCUGAAGCGCUGGGCCGGCCCACCGAGGCCUGCAUUUUUUUUUCGUUUCGCACUUAACUGGCGCGCGUGUUGGGCUCGUUCGUUGCCCCAGUUACUAUUCGUUUCAUUUCUCUUAUGCUUUUAGAAUGCGCGGUGAACAUUUUUUUAAUAUACGCUGAACACUUUUUCUGCUUAUAGUGAACAUUUUUCAAUGCACGAUGAACUUUUCUUUACAAACGGUGAACAUUUUCUUAAUAUAAUAAACUUUGGUAAUAUCCGUUGAACAUAUUUAAAAUGCAAAUUGAAUAUUUUUGUAUUAUAGGUUGUUCAAUUUUCUUAUGAAAAGAAACAUUUUACUUAAUUCGUGGUAAUUUUUUUUAUAAUUUAUGGUGACAUUUUAUUAAUACACGGUGAGUUUCAAGAUUAUUAUGGUGAAUAUUUUCUUAAUACAUGGUGAAAUUUUUGUAUUUCAUAAAAUGUUCAGUAUAUAUUAAAACUUAUUGUGUAAAAUCAAUUUGCAUUUCCAAAAACACUUGAUUAUUUUAAUAAAAGUUGAAAAGUUUUAAUGCAUUUCUAAAAUUUAUUAGGAUUACACAAUUAUUUUUAAUACAUGUUCUACGCCAUGUUUCUAAAAUUUAAUGCAUUUAAAGUUAUAUGUUCAACUUUUAAUGCAUUGAUUGCAAGAAUAAUUAGGAAACCGGGGCAAAAAUUUCUUGAAACUCAUCGUGUAUCAAGAAAAUGAUCACCAUAAAUUACAAAAAGUUCACCACGCAUUAUGUAAAAUGUUCAUCAUAUCUUAAGAAAAAGUUCAAGAUAUAUUACAAAAAUGAUCGAUUUGCAUUUAAAAUAUGUUCAACGUUUAUUAUAAUGGAGAAAAUAUUAAUCGUUUGUAAAGAAAAAGUUGACAACAUGUAUUAAAAAUAAUUUUGUAAUCUUAAUAAAUUUUAGAAAUGCAUUAAAAUUGUUCAACUUUUAUAAGAAAAAAUCGACGUGUUUCUGGAAACGCAAGAAUGAUUUUUACACAAUAAAGUUUUUAAUACAUGCUGAACAUUUUUUGAAAUGCAAAAAUUUCACCAUGUAUUAGGAAAAUAUUCACUAUAAAUAAAAAAUUGUGUAAUCAUGAUAUUCUUGAAACUCAUCAUGUAUUAAGAAAAUGUUCACCAUAAAUUACAAAAAGUUCACCGCGCAUUCUAGAAGCAUAAGAGAAAUGAAACGAAUAGUUACCGGGGCAACGAACGCGCGCCAGUUAAGUGCGAAACGAAAAAAAAAUGCAGGCCUCGGUGGGCCGGCCCAGUGCUUCAGACAGGGUAUAAGAAAGGAACGCCUGUAUUUGACCGCUAGCUGCUUUGUGGCGUGGUGGUUAGCGCGUGGCGCCUGUGGACUGCAGGUCGCAUGUCCGAUUCACGCUAGCGCCUGAAGUUUCUUUCCUUUUAUUUAUUUGUUUAAGUGGCGGAAAAUUUCAAACCAGUCCAGAUUCGGUGGUGGAAAUUGCGAACAAAAAAAAAGCCUCUCACGGAGCCUUUUCCCCAUAAAAAAUUUGGGCAUUUUUGUGAUUACAUACAAUGUAAGGGGUUUUCUGCAAAAAAACAUGCCACGUCGGCACCUGACGGGCGGGCCCCGUUGGUCAGAUACACCGUCAAUACGUAUAAAACAGAGUUCUAGCCUUAUUUGCAAAAGUCUGAAACAAUGUUGGUACUGACAAGCAAAAAUUAAGAAUCGUGGUUUCAAUCUACAUGUGAUGCCCUAAUUAUGGUACUUUAACUCACCCCCCCAACCUAAGCUUAACCUGAGAAGAGAAGAGAAAUCCAAGGAAAUCUAGGGUAGGGUAGGGUUUCCAUGGCGGCCGCCUGCUGCGUCCUCGUCGACUCCGGCGCCUACAUCGACGACACCAACGACAGCACCAACGAGAGCACGGCCCAAACGUUUACUAGCAGAGGCAAUCAGAUCGUGGUUUCCUUAUGGCCUGCUCACCCGCCGAUACCCUCCCGUCUCUCCGUGCACGGUCUCCUCUUGCAUCCCGGCGAAGACUUCUUCCAGGAACCCAAGAUCCUUUGCGCAGCAGACGGCUUCUUCGUCCUCCGCACCGCCAUCGGCCGCGGCCCCCCACCCUUCAACAUCACGCAGAAGAUGAGCGACUACUUCGUCUACCAGCCAGCCAGCUCCACAUGGGGAGGCCCGUCGCUGCGGCUCCUCGCUCACCCUCACCCUCACUUAUUCACAGACAAUGUGGUUGGCGUCCUCCCCCGCGGCGGCGGCGGCCACUUCACCAUCGCCGUGCUGUCUCAAGCCUCGUAUUACAAGUUCGUGCUCUACCUGUUCAAGUCCGAGGACUGGUGUUGGACCUCCAAGAAGGUGCUGGUGGACUCGCCGCGGAUACCCUUCCCCAUGCCGCUCCCCCCUGACGAUGUCCAUGGCCACUUUCAGCAUCUUACCAACUCGGUCAUCACCAUCGGGAGCAGGGGACUCGUUGGCUGGGUUGAUCUCUGGCACGGAAUACUGCUCUACGACGUGCUCCGUGACGACAACGACAAAAUCCGCCUUGUACCGCUGCCGGUAAGGCCGGGAAGCCAUGGCGGCAAGGCGCUUGAGUGCUGUCCAAAGCCUUACCGAAGCGUCGCUGUCGUGGGGGAUUGCCUCAAGUUUGUCGAGCUGGAAGCCUUCGGCGAUCGUCUUCCUGGUAAAGACCCUGAAACCGGGGGCCCCAAGCUCAGAAUUGAUGACUGGGCGCUCACCACAUAUAGUACCAACUGCAACAUCACCGGCAAUCCCCCCGAGGACUGGAAAAUCGACUUCACCGUCAAUGCAUCCGCCGUCCGGAUUGACACGACAAUGCGGUCUGGAUUGGUUCGCUGCGGAAUGCUGCUGCGUAACAAUGAUGAGGCUGCUGCAGAGAGAAACUUGCAAAAUCUCUGGACAUAUCAGCCUGUUGUCAGCCUGAAUGAUGAUGAAGGUGCUGUUGUUUAUCUCAUCUCCAGGGUCAAAUUCCGGCACCCUAAGGCAUGGCUUCUUGCUCUUGACAUGGCCAACAACCAAGUACAAGCAAUGGCUAUGAUUGAAACUGAAAGGAGCACCGCCUUGUCCCUCAACUAUUUUCCUUGUAGGAUCUCAUCUCCAGCUACCUGAAUGGAUGGGACGACUAUGCCCCGCAAAAAAAAAAUUAAUUAUAUUAUUGUAGCGUCAAAUGCCAUGUCCUGUGAUUACUUACUUGUACAAGCUGCAACCGCUAAGAUCAAAAAAUUUCUUGCCAAAUCUGCAAGACUUGCAACUGUUAACUACUGAUGAGGCCCAUAUGACAUGUUCCUUUUCAGGUGACAAUGAAUUUCCUUCGAAUUGUAACCGAGGAGAAUUAACAUUCUAGUGAUAUACUGAUGUGAAAUCAACUAUGUAGUCUUUUUGUUGGUCAUGUCCUAAGUUCUGUCCCGCCUGAGGAUUGUUGUAGUGCCUUCCUUAAGUGUAUAAUUAUUUCCAAGAAACCAAUCGAACACUUGAGUUUAUUUACCUACUGAACUUCACUCUCAAUUAGAAGUGGACAAUUGUCCAGUGCCAUGUCAGAACUGGUUGGAAACGAUACUGCAGUAGAGAACAUAUAUGGUUGGGGUCCACCUGAGAACAAGAAGGUCAUUCUCAUUAAAUUUGUGGCUUUGCGUUGCCAUAAUUUAGUGAAAAUUGGAUCUCUUGAUUUAACAGGGAUGCGAAUGGAGUGAUGGUUAAUUCUUUUUGCAGCGAGUCAACUGAAAUUUACUCUAUUUUUUUGCAUUGAAAUGAGUAAACAUUAAUAUUUAACAGUGAAUAAAAUGAAACUUAACUUGUGCUGAUUCCUCCCCUUAAUUUGUAUCUUGUUUUAUACUCGUAUAUUCUAGCACCAUAUCUUAGUGUGUGAUAAUUAACAUGAAGGUUUUCUGUUGCUGUUUGAAAUGGUAGAGGAUGCAACUACCUUCCGUAGCAUAUCAAAUUUGAUAUAUUUACUAUUUGUCUUAUCAAGCAGCUGAUUUGUUUACUCUCUGUUUCCAUGAAUGAAGUAACUCGCAGUUGGAUCUGUGGCGAAGAGAAGAAUGUAUUGUGAGAAAAGAAAACUGGAUAUUUGGGCCCAAGUUGAAACAAGCAGAACACAAAUCGUAACAUAAUUAAGUAUAUCCAUCCUCCAAAAAAAAGAUGUACAUAAGAGUACUUCCACCCUCCGAAAAAACGUAUGUAAAUAAUAGAUUAUACUAUGAAGUAAAAAAAACCUCAUAAACAAAUCAACUAUGGAAACCAAAAACAAAAUUAUGUACCACAUGUCACAUGAACGUUACAAAAUAGCUUCAUCUCGAACCAAACGAUUCCUCCCAAAUUAAGUUGCCUUUAUUGCUAGACCACCAAUGUGAGAGUUUUUUCUAGUUUCGUACCAGCAUUCAUUUUUGGCUGCUGGUAGCCAAUAUAGUUUCAUGGCAAAGUAUAUGGUUUUGCUUGAUAUGGAUGCAUGCACCAAUCGACACAAAUUUCAAGAAGGAUAUCCAUAUUUCCAGUGCAGUUUCCAUUCACUAGUAGAAAAAGGCCCAUUUGUCCCGGUUUGUGAGGGCCUUUAGUCCCGGUUCUGGAAGUGUGUCGGAUAUGCAGGAUUCUGUGAAGAGUUUAAGUGAGAAGCUCUCUGCUGCUCUUUUGACUAUCAGUGCUAAAGAGGGCUUGGUGAAGCAGCAUGCAAAAGUUGCAGAAGAUGUUGUUGCAGGUAAAAAAAAAUCAUAUUACAUUGCAUGCAUUCAUGUUAGCCAGUAGUUUCCUCUCUUUAUUCAGAAUCUCGGGGGAAAUUAAGAAAGAGUAAACUGAUAGAUUCUUUUUUUGCAUGCUCUUUGAGCAAAUUUAGAACGGUAUGGAACAAGAAAUUUAUAUAUUAUAUUGUAGUAGUUAACUCAUACUUAUUAAUUAUUUGUAGGUUGAGAGCAUGCUGAAGGUGAAGUUAGUAACCUGAAGCGGUCACAUGAUGCUUCAUCUCUGAAGAAUGCCUCUCUGGGGUCGCUCUGGUUGCCCGUCGUCGUCGCCCAUCCUCUCCACCCCGCCCCGGCGCGUCUCCUCCCUGCCCGCCGAGCGGAUGCUGCUCCUCACGCCGCUGCACCACUGGAGGAGCGCAUCGACUGUGGCGCUCGGUUCUCCUCCCUGCCCACAUCUUCUUCGUCGCCGAGGAGCGGCAGGUGCAGAGGCGCGUGCGCUGCACCCCCACUCCGUCGACGCAAAGAUUCCCAUAACCAGUUCGGUGGUGACGCGACUGGCAGCGACGGCCUCUUCUCGGCAGGCACAGACCGCAAGGUCGUCUUCCUCUCCGGCCUCUUCCACACCGUCAUGGACGCCGCAGAGCUCAUCCUCGAGAAACUCCUCUACCAGGUACAACCAUUCAGGUUCAGUUUUGACAGUUAGCACUGUUAGUUUUCUUCAGUAAAUAAUUUAGCUGUUGUGGUACGCGCAUGUGCUAAGCCUGAGCAGGUCUUCCGUUUCCUUUUAUCUCGUUGAUAGUGGUGGCCACAAUCUUAUUCCUUGAGAUGGCACGAGAUGCUUGUAUCGUGGUUGUGCAGAUCGGGCAACUCGGUGGUAAUUGUGCUCUGAAGAAUAAAAGAGAACUAAAAUGACGGAGCAGUUGAAUGCGUCGCAAGAUCUCACUGGGUUCAGUCUGGGUACAUAAGUUCUUUCUUUGGUCUGCUCGCCUUGCUCUAUACGGUUGCUGUCAGUAGUAUAUCAUAGCGUGAUGGGUCAGUUUGUUGCUGCUUGUGGCCUGAAAGUUAACAAGGGUCAAUGUCAAUGCUUGGUCCGGUAAUUAACGACCCCAUGAUAGCUAUGAGCACACCUAUAUUUUUGUUUUGUGGUGGUGCACACGAUGUGGUGCCUGAGAAAGCCCCCAGAGGUUGAAAUGGUAUUGAAUUGUGUGCGCUUGAGAUCGCUCUGCGUUUGUUGCUUAGGGUUCUCGGAUUUCAUGAUGUACUCAUGCUUCUAUUAAUUUUUAGGAUAAGAGGUCAAACACACUGUUUCCUGCCACCUUCAGAUUUGUUUUCAUUUAAACUCACUAUAUGCUAGCACUUCUGCUUAUAACUGAACUGAAUGUCCUGGUUCAUGUUCUCACUGUGUGGGAGGGGGAGGGCAAAGGGAGAGGUAGAGGGUUGAGGUGCUCGUCCAAAUAAUAUAUACUUUUCCUUUUUUGGGUGUUCGAUUGGUUGUUUAUCUGAUGUGGGAUUGCUGCAGGUUUGUUGUUGUCAUUGGUUCUUCCUCCCGUGGACAAUCUCGCUCGAACUGUGGUAUGGUUCUGCUUCCGACCAUCACGCUGUUCUGCUGGGUGUGUUUCUCCUUCUCUUAGGUUUAUUGUUCUACUUAAUUGUUCGUGCACGGUUCAUUCAUUGCGCUAAAUGGUGGUCUGCCUUGCCGUUGAAAUGGAAGAUGUUGAGGUCUAGCUUUAUUAUUAUGAUGUUUUGUUGCCCUUUUGUUUUGUUGGGUACCUGUGUCCUUUGCUUCAUGCAAGAAAUUUGCUAUUUUUUUGUCUGAUGUAUUUAAAAAGCAUAGAUUAAAAUAGCCCGCGAAAUAGCCGCGAUAGCUGCGCUAUAGCUGCCCGGGAGCCUCGCCGCUACGCUAUGGCUGCUGCCGCGAAAUCCUCCACAUAUCCCUAUAAAUGGCUCAACAAUCAACAAAUCCCUCCAGAAUCAUCUCCCCCACCAGAAAAAUUUCCGCUAUUUGCCGCGAUUGCCCGCUACGGCGGCCGCUAUAGCUGCUGGGAGAGGCCGCCGCGAAAUCGUUUCUCCCGCGAUUUUAAUCUAUGUUAAAAAGUCAAUGUGAGAGUUGAGUGUGAAGUGAUCGUCUACAUAUAGGGGUCUUGCAUGUUAGUGUGAGUUGCGUCGUAUGGUACUGUUUUCUCAGGGGGGUUAAUUCUAUAUGCUUUGUGAGAAAAGGUUCAAUCCAUCUAUGUUUUUUGUAUUUUUUUUACAGUACUCAGUUGCAUGAAGUAGUUAUUUCCAGUUCUCUGUGAUGAUCAUAGGUGUUCCCUGCUUCAGAGCUCCUCCACGACGGCACCCAGCAGUCCCAAAGUCAAGGUGAGACCCCCUUCUCUGCCUGGUGCUGAGAUCACUCCUUUGCCUGGCACUACCCUCAGAUGUUUCAUGAAUUGCAUAAUGUGAUUUUUGUAGCUCAUGGUCUUUGUUUUAGGAUGAUUGGAAAUUUGACUGUAGUAGUACUAAUAUUUUAGCUAAUGUGGGGAAACAUUUAAGAAAAAAUAUACUGGAUGUAUUUUGUUUUCUUUAUUAUCUCCACUGUAUGAUAAUUUUCUAUGUGGCAUUUUGAAGUUUGAGAACAUUCGUUCCUUGAGAAAUGGAUACAUUGCUCUACCGAGUUUCUUGAUUCAUUGUUGUCAUUUACUUAAACACAGAGACACCAAUGCUCAAAUAUAUUCUAGUCUUGUUCGUACAUGUGUGCUUAUUGGGUGUGAGUGGGAGACAGUAGCCACCUUACAAAAAUGAAAUUCAGAUAGAAGUCAAAACUAAAGUACUCUUUCAAGUAGUAGUAUUCCCAUUUGUUGCUCCAACAUGGCUGUUCUUUUUUCACUUCAGGUGACAAGGUUUUUAUUUAUUCUGACUGUUCAUUCGAUCACCGUGCAAAUUGAGAGGUUGAGGGCAGGGGGUUGAUUUAAAUUCCCAUUGUAGAGAAAUAUUUACUACAUGUGAAUCAACAAUAAACUUCUUAUUUCUUUUUGUUUCGACAUUGAUUACUAAAUUAAUGUUAAGGCUAAUAUUUAAAGAAGGGACUACUAAAAACAGAUCAUGCCUGAUGUCAUAUUAUGCUACAAACAAAUUAGUUCUGUUUUUUAAUGAGCAAGUUUUGUGUACUUCUCAACGAUCGACUCUUCCUUUUUCUUUUCUUGAAGGUGGAAUUGGACCUUGGAAACUAAACUAUGUAACAACACAAUGCUUGGAUUUGAAGACAUCAUGCUGGGCACACGUGUCAGCUAUGGAGGUAACCCCAUUGGUUCAUCAAAUUAACUGUAGGUGGACCUUACGAGUGUAUUAAUACGUUGUAGCAUAACUAUACAAAUCCUUAGCUGCAUAUAUGUCCCUUUAGGAUUGAUAGAUAGAGACGCCGUGAUUCCUAUUUCUUUAGGUACUUAUUUUUCUUGCGGUUUCCUUUUAAUUGCAAGCUACAUCUGCCAGCGUCGUCAUUAACUUAUUUCAUUUCAAGUCUUUGUUGACUAUAUUGUAACCAUGCAAUAGCAAUUACAAACUACCUCUUCCAAUUGCAUGCAUCUUUUUGUUCUUGCUGUUUGGGUAUCCACAAUAGUAGGAAAUGGGGCUUUUACCCCGGUUCAUAAGGGCCUUUAGUCCCGGUUCUGGAACCGGGACUAAAGGGUCGUUACUAAUGCCCUAGCCCUUUAGUCCCGGUUCUUACACGAACCGGGACUAAAGGCCGCCCACGUGGCCGGUGCGGGGAGCCCAGGCAGGAGGACCUUUGGUCCCGGUUGGUAGGCAUCCACGCGUCAGCACCUGGCAGGAGCUGNNNNNNNNNNNNNNNNNNNNNNNNNNNNNNNNNNNNNNNNNNNNNNNNNNNNNNNNNNNNNNNNNNNNNNNNNNNNNNNNNNNNNNNNNNNNNNNNNNNNNNNNNNNNNNGUCCUCUCUUAUAUCUCCGUGCUUGGUUUACCAACGCUACGUACUGCUAUGCCUAAACAUGACUUAGAUUGAAGUGAAGGCAACAUGUGGUGCAUGUCGAAAGUAAUACUAAUCCGGCCUUGAUCAAGUUUGGAUUGUACUACUUUCGACACGCACCACACGCAUGUUUCCUUCACUUCAAUCCAAUCCAUGUUCAUUUCACCCGCUGAUAUAUAAUAACUCUUCAUGCACGCAUCAUGCAUCAUCAUAUAUAAUAACAAGUCCUACUAAUCAUUAUCAUACAACUUCUACUCGUUAUUAAUAACAAGUCAUAUGAUCAUCAUCCUCACAGUCAUCGAACCAACCCUACUUAAUUGCUCUUAGCACAUGAUCAUCAGUAUUAGGUAGGACCGAAAUACCAUCUUUAAGGUAAAAUAGCAUAAAACAAUAUAGACCCUGACUCUCCAUUAUGGAGAAUGGAGAUCAUCCUGUCUCCAAUUCUUGCGCCUCGCUUCCUUUUGCUUCCAAGAAGCUCCUUGCGACUGUCCAUACAUUUUUUCCAUUCUUUGAUUUGCAUGUCUCCACUUCUUUUAGAAAUCCGGUAUGGACAGUUGAGAUUCGUAGGAUGACCUGGUUGUAUAUUCAAAACAUCAAGCCUACCAUUCUGAUACAUCAAAUGAGGCACACAAUCCUCUGGGAUUAUCUGUUGAAAAACAUAGUAAUAACUUCAUAGUUAGCAAUGAUAAUGCACUAGUUUUAGAACUAUGCAAAAUAUGCACGGAUGUCGUAAUAGUAAGAAAUCUUACCAGGGUAUCUCCAUAGUAGUUACCGUAGUUCAACACGUGCACUAGUGGCACGUAUGGAGGACCAUAAUGAUGAGGAGUUUGAUUGUAGAUAUUGUAAUUCUCAAUAUCAGUACAAAAUCCGACCAGAUGAGUUUUCUCCUUAUAAGUUAACUCAGAGCCAUCGGUGUAGUAGGUUCUGUCUACCAUGUUCCGCACAUUGUUUGAACAAUCAAAAUAAGCUGUCAAUGAAAAUAAGCUGUCAACUAUUUUGAAAUGAACAAUAUAAAUUAGCUAAUAACUAUGUUUGAGAAACUCACAUAGCGGUAGAAUUGGAGGCGUAUCAACAAGGACCCAAAUGUCCAUAUUGUCUUGCUCGAUGUCAGGAUCACCAAGAUCCAUGGUGACAAGCAUACCCUCAUCAAAACCAUACAUCUUGCAAAAUGCUUCCCAAUUUUUGCAACCAAAAUGGGUUACGCUCUCAGAAUUAUACAACUUUACUUCAAAAUCUAUAUCAUGAUGGGUCCUUAGGUGAAUUUUCUUUGUUUCCAUACUUUCAUGGUCUUCAAAACCCAUCCUUUCCAAGACGUAGCGUCUUGCAUGGCAUGGGAUAAGCUAGCCGAAUUGUAAAAGAUGAAAAGUACACGUUGAAAUAGUUGAAGUCGUGCUUAAUUACGAAAAAAUAACACUUGACGUCGUUGCGUACCGUUUCAACAUCGAACGUCUCCUCCAGCUUAAUACUAAAGCGCCGAUCUUCGUCCAGGUGAGGCCUGUCGCACUGACCUCGGUCGUCGUGGCACCAGUUGCACUCCCCCGGGAGACUUUCGUCGUCCGAGUACGACAUUUCCUAUGUUCAUAUAUAAUUCAAAUAUUAAACAUCUAAAAUUAAAUAUAUGUACUAAAAAACCUAAGUUAGAUCAUUAUUAUUCAUCACGGGUUGACUAUCAGUUUGUCGAGUCUUUUCUUGAAAACUCUCAGCUCACGUGGUGUAUACAUUCGACCGUUGGUGAUGGUCGCUCCUCCCUUUGUCCCCGUGUGCAUUACACCAAAAUGUCUAGCUAGCACACGGGAACAAAGGAGAAGCGACCCCCACGACAACAUUCGUGAUUCUUCGUCCUCUCAUAUAUAUAUGGUGGAACUCUCCCUCACUGAUUCCUCUCUAACAUUUGCGACCGUCGGUGAUGGUAGCUCCUCCUUUCGUUCUCGAGUGCAUUACACCAAAUUGUCUAGCACACGGGAACAAAGGAGAAGCUACCCCCACGACAACAGUCGGGAUUCUUCGUCCUCUCAUAUAUGGUGGAGACUCGACAGACUUACAGUCAACCCGAAAUAUCGUUUAAUUAUCUUUCUAAAAUAGGAUUUGGCUGGUCUCACCUCGAUGUCGCAGGGGGCGGUGACGGGGACGACGGCGGGGAUGAUGGAGGGGCCGGGGGGGCUCCUAGAUUUCUGCGAAAACAAAAACCCUAUAAGCUAUCAACUAAUCAUAGUGCUCUCCAAUUUUAGCAUUCAAAGUAGGAUCGGAGUAGUUUUCCACUUUGAGCAUUCAAUAAGCAAAAUCAAAUCACAAAAUAAAGUAGUAUUCAAAUUAGGAUGCAUUCAAUUAUAAGCAAAACUACAUCAUCUCCAUGCGUCCGUACAUCGCCGAAUAUUAUCACUAAUACACCUCGAAUACUAUCAUACAUAUAGCAUCGCUAGUACAGCUAGAACAGUAGCGCCCGACGGGUAUCGGCGCGGGCGGUGGACACCCAAAGGGACGGAACCAUCACAGGAUCAUAGCUCCAGUGAGAUCCCUGAAGAACCUGCCAGGUAUUGUCGAACCUGCCCUCCAACGCAACCAUGUAGCGACAGACGUGCUGGUCCUCCUCCCUGACACGGUGAUGUACCACCUCCGCGGUGUCCGGAAGCCUCGGCACCGUCAUUGGCCCACGCGAGCGCCACCAAACAAGGAUCGGGUCAACGACGGGCUGGUUCCUCACCAACCUACACCCACCGGAAGGUAGCACCUCCCAAAACCAGCCCGGCGGAGCCCAGUCCCGGACAUGGCCCCUCUGAUCAAGCCGGCCUCCUCCGCCGAGUCGACGAUGAGGAUGCGGGAUAGGCAUCGUCGACGUCGAUGCGGGAAUAAUUGCUUUAACUAAAAAAACAAACUAGUUCUAUUAAUUUCCUUACUAUAAAUAGAAUAAAGUAGUACUUACUACAAAUAAACUAGCUAGUUUAACUAGUUCUAUUAUUUUUCUAACUAAUUCUAUUAAACACUUUCUAAGUAGUACUUACUAAAAGUUAUCGGGGAGGGGGGUACAUAUAUCGACAACGACAUACCCGAUAAAAAAUAAGAAGAGGAAGAAGACGAAAAAAAGAGGAGAAGAAGAAAGGAAUAGAGGAGGAGAUCGAAGAAAAAAAAGAAAAAAAAGGAGAAGAAGAAGGAAUAGAGGAGAAGAAGAAAAAAUAGAAUAAUAUAUUAUUCUAUUUCUUCUUCUUCUCCUCUAUUUCUUCUUCUUCUACUCUUUUUUUUCUUCUUUUUCAUCUUCUUAUUUAUUUCUCCUCUACUUCCUCUCCUCUUCU
rnacentral:lncRNA from 1 species